rnacentral:lncRNA from 1 species
UAAGUACACGUUUUAUUUGAAACGAAUUCGCAAGGAAAGAUAUUACCUUUGCGUCGUUAUGGGGUUGAGACAUGGUCUUGGUGUCCUCUUCACUGAACAUGAGAGCGUCUUCGAGGAUCCAUCCCCAAAUCUAUUUUUCUCUAGUGAUGGAUAUUUUUGUUCCUCUCAUUACGGUUCCCUGCGGGGCAUUGGCUCCGUCGUGAUCAUGUGGAUGACACGUUACGGUUCAUUUGCCAAGUUCUUCUUGGUUGCCUCCCUUUCCCGAAACAUGUUCUUGGUUCGAUCACUAAGGAUUUCCCGGAGAUGUCCAUUGUUAAGCAGUCCAGCUCCUCUCGUAUUUGAUGAAAAUCCUCGAUCAUGUGGCUAUGUGUGUUGUGAAACUCACAUAGUAAGUUGUAAUUCUUUUGCGAAGGGUCUCAUUGUAUCGAUUUGGGCUACUUGUCAUCUCUAAUACUACUGAUGGUAAACACGGUGUCUAGCACAUCAACAUUGCAUUUAUAUUCUGAUAGGUGGGGCGCACCUGUUGGCACUAUGUUUUGAUCGAUUCUAAUUUUGUUCCUCGAGGGUCCUGUCCUAGAUCUACCCUCCGAUUAUUGCGAGGUAGGUUGCACCUCGGGUUGUUCCUUCUAUCCUCCAUGUAUGUCUAAUACCUUUAUUUUUUUGGUUUCGGUUCAUUUGCUUGGAGCCUGCUAGGGUACACUGAGCCCGAAGGGGCUCCCAACAGGUUAUCCUCAGCUCUGAUCUUCGACUAAUGCCGAUUGUGGACGUCUGAUCAACUCAUGGCUACAUACUCAAUCAGGUUCUAUUUCAAUUGUUUUGAAGACACCGAACUUCAUUCGUUCAUGCCUUGGGUGAAUUCUUGCAGUGCCGAGUCGCUGAAGACUAGCGGUAGCUCCAUCCGUUCCAUCUAUAAGCGAGAAACAAAUUCCCGCAACAUCUCAUUUUCUCUUUGCUUGAUCUUGAAAACAUCGGAUUUCCUUUUUGCUACUUUGAUGGCUCCAGCAUGUGGCCUUAUGAAGGAGUCCACUAGCAUAGUGAAUGAAUCUAUAGAAUUAGGAUCCAAGUUUUGAUACCAUAUCAUGGCCCAUUUCGAGAGUAUCUCCCUAUAUAUUUUCAGCAAUACAGACUCGAUUUCGUCAUAGUUUAUAUCGUUCCCUUUUACUGCGCAGGUGUAGGCAGUAAUGUGUUCAUUAAGGUCGAUGGUACCGUUGUACUUGGGGAGCUCAGACUUUCUGAACUUCUUUGGAAUGGGAUUUGGGGACGCUUCCUCCAGGAACUACCUUUGUAUGAACUUAUUCGAAUCCACGCCCUUAGGGACCUGCGCCGCAUUCGAGAUCUUAUCGACGCUAGAGUUGUAGGUCUCGACCUUCUUAUCGUUGGAUAAUAUAAUUUUCUCACCUGAUUCGAUCCUUUUGGUGAGGUCCUCGAGCACUUUUACUAUGGUAAGGUCGGCUACCGAUCCGUUAUUGCUCAAUCUUUCGGGGUAUUUGUUCGGUAGGGGAGCUGUUUCUGGCGCUGCUUUACUGGGAGUCUUCGGAUUUCUUUGUAACGGAGAGAUGGCCACCUGUUAUGCCUGCAACAUUUCAAAAAUAACAUGAAGACUAACUUCUUGAUCUUCCCGAGUUGGGGUUUUUUUUUGGGUUCCUGUCGGUCGCUAUGCCAGACGCUCCUUUCGAUGUGUGAGCUUUUGUCAACCUGGUGUGCGUCUUGUGAAUCCGCACCGCUAAGAAUCUGCCCGAGCGCAUUAUAAAGAUUCUGUGGUGGCGUGUCGUCGGCCAAAAGAGACACACCGUUUUCCCCAUGGUUUUCGAGGUUGGCGUUCUCGAUUAUGUUUACCGAGCCAGUUAUAUUAACUUGAAAUCAAAGAUCUCAGACAUGAAAAGGUGUAAAAGAUAACAUGCAUUUUUGCAAUAAAACCACCAAGCAAAUAAUCACUAUUAUUUUUAGCCGUACGGUAGGUGCCAAACUAUUUACCGUAAAAGAAUACCAACAAUUAAAUUUGUAAAUGGGAUUUUAAAAAUACGUGAUCUAUUUUUAUGCUAAUUGUUUAGAGCAGUUGAUGCUAGAAGCACGGAGUCUCACAAAGAAAUAUAGGCUAAAGCGGUGUAGUAAUCAAAUCGAGUGGCUUGCAGCCCGAGCCUUGGACUGGUCGAUUGAGGAUCUCAAGAUCAAUAUUUGGCUCGAUCUCGACCUAUCGGGGGUAGCGAGAAUACGAUAACGGUUAAGAAAUGAUUAACUAAGGUUUUUGAGGGCCAAUAUCAAGAAAUAAAUGAAGAACAUGUAUGAAUGCUAAGACAGUCCUUGAGUGAGAGAGAACGAGUAAGUUUGAGAGAGAGAGAGAGCUAUUAUUGAUCUUGUAUGAGAUAGUUGGAGCUCUCCUUACGGUUUUAACGACUCCUCUUUUAUAAGUAGGGGGAGCCCAAACUUAGUACAAGAUACGUUGAGUGAUAAAGGAAAUGGGAUGGGACAGAUAACUAGUUUUCACAAUGUAUGUGUAGGCCAAUGUUAGGCUGGCCUCAUAGACAUAAUCGACUUCGGAUGUAUUCUUCAGAAGUUUCCCGUGUUCAAUUGGGUUUGGACCAAUGUUAUCCUUGUCUAGGUAUCAGAAGAUUUUGAAGGAAGUUACUGGCUCGAGGUACCGAGCCUCCGAAGCGACCCACUGAAGCAAUUUUUCACCGAGAAAUCGGUCCUUCGAUUUCACUAUGCACAAUUGGCUAGAACAUAUCACUUGCAGAUGUGGCGCGGUUUCAUUGUCCUUUUAAUGUGACUUGGCAUGCCUUGUCAUUUUGACACAUAGCAUGAUCCUAUUGGCUCUUCCUUUUUACAUAGCAUGCCACGUCAUUUCAUGCGUGACACCAAUCUAGGCCUCUAGGAAGAUGAUAUCUGGCCUGAUGAAGUGAGGACAUCAUUUGUAGCCCAAUUAAUUAGGCUAGUCCAAUUGUAUUGUACUUAAAUAAUUAAUUCAAAUAUAUUAGCUCAUAAUAUUUAUUUGACUAGUAUAUUUAAAAUAUAGUCCAAAUUAUUUAUUGAAUUUAAUUUCAAUAAAUUUUACAUGCCUACAAAUAUCUCAAAUUUCAAGACAUUGAGGUACUUACUUGUCAAAAUCAUAAAUGGGCAAAGAAGUAAUGGCGGUCUAUCCUGCGAUUUUAUUAUCUGUACACCCGGUAAAUUAUUUGGACAAUAUAGUGACCAUUCACAUUAAGAGAGAUGAUAUUCGGCCAAACUCAGCGUGGUUCAAAAAUGACCACACCCGUGAAAUACCUGUAAAGCCCUUGUUUUUCCGUUUGGCUUAAUGGCCCUUCUUUUCCUCCAAAAUAUUUACUCCAAAAUUAGUUAAUAACUUUUGAUUAUUCCAAAACAUUGAUCCCAUAAAUAAUCAUUCUCUCAACAUACCGAUGAGAAGCCUUCGUAUAUACGCUCAAGACGUAUUUUCUUUUAAAAUACAAUUAUAUUUUUAAAAAAAUAUAAUUAUAUUACCGAUGAGAAGCCUUCGUAUAUUCGCUCAAUACAUAUUUUCUUUUAUAAUACAAUUAUAUUCUUUUAAAAAUAUAAUUACGUAUUUUGUUUAAUACAAUAAUCAAUUUAUUUUAAUUAAAUGAAAUUUAUACGGUUGGGAAGAUCAAAGGUCUAUUAUAUAUAUAUAUUUAUAUAUAUAUCAUACCAUAUACUUAUGGUAAGAUAGCUUUCAUUAAACAAACAAUUCACCCACACUUCCCUUAAACUAAACAUGAAUACUAACCAAGAAACUAGUUUGGAUCAAUUAAAAAUGAAUAAUAGUGAUCAACUAAGGAAUGCAUUACACACAUCAUUAGGGCUGAAUUCGGACGACAGUUUGAUGAAUGAAGAUGAAUCAAUCGACAUUUAUUCAGACGUCAACUUCACUGAUGGAGAAAAUCCUGUUGACGAUUCUGCUGCUCUUGAUGAUGAUGAUUAUGACGGCCAUUAUACACAUCAAUUUCACUGAUGGAUAAAAUCCUGUGGACGAUUCUGCUACUCCUGAUGAUGAUGAUGUUGAUGAUUAUGACGGCCAUUACUUAGAGGAAGAGGGAGAAGUUGGAGAGGACAAGUAAAUGCAAAAUGAGUUAAGUGAAGAAGAACUUAUAACUGGUCCAAUUACUGGGAUGCGGUACAGUAGUAAGGAUGUUCUGUUAGAUUUUUACAAAGAACAUGCAAGAUUAUCGAGCUUUUGCAUUGUCAAAUAACAUCCAACAAAAAGGUUGUGAUAUUGUUAGGUACGUGCAAUGUGGUUGUGAUAGGUCUAGAAAACCAAGAAAUAGGCAUGUUACUAAGAGGAGGAAUUGUCGUGCUAGAAUAAAUGGAAUUUUGGAGGAUAAUGGUUCAUGGCGUGUUUCAAAGGUGGUAAAAAAAAACAUAAUCAUCAAUUGCAACCAGCACUAUCGCGAUUGAUGGUUGGACACAGAUUGCUUAGCAAGUCUCUUAAGAGAACUCUUGCAGCCAAAGAUAUUGUUGUCUUAAGACCCUCAAAAAAUAUAAUUGUCGCUGAAGUACUUGCUGAUGGCCCCGAAAAUAUGCGUUGUACACCAAAGGACUGUAGAAAUUAUAUCUUGAAGAGUAGAAAGCUUCAGUUGCAAGAAGNNNNNNNNNNNNNNNNNNNNNNNNNNNNNNNNNNNNNNNNNNNNNNNNNNNNNNNNNNNNNNNNNNNNNNNNUAAAAUGUAGAAAGCUUCAGUUGCAAGAAGGGGAUGCACAAUCAUUACUCAAGUUAUUCAGUGACAUGAUACAAAAAGAUAGGGAAUUUUACUACUCCGUAGAUGUGGAUAGUUUUGGUCGAAUUCGUAUUGUCAUAUGGAUUCAUUCACACUUUAAGGUUGCAUGUGAGGAGUUCCAUGAUGUAAUAUGCCUUGAUACCACAUGCCUUGUGAAUCGAUACAAUAUGCCAUUUGCUUCAUUUAUUGGUGCCAAUCAGCAUAGGCAGUCCAUACUUUUGGGAUGUGCUAUUAUGUCUAGUGAGGAUAUAGCAAGUUACCAAAUGGUGCUCUCUACAUAAAUUAGGGGUCUAAACAAUAUUAAUCCAUUAGCUAUCAUGACUUACCAAUGUGAUAGUAUUAAGGUUGCCAUCAGUGCAAUGAUGCCUAAUAUAAUACAUAGAUAUUGUAUAUGGCACAUAUUUGCAAAGUUGCCUACAAAGUUAUGCAGAGUUCCUGAUGCAAAAAUUGCAAAGGCAGAAUUUAAGGUUUUAGUUCCUUACAGCAUUCUUGAUGAAAAGAUUGCAAUACAAAAUAUGACGGAUUAUAGUAGCAAAGUAAGUAGGUUGGUGCAUUCUCCAUAGGGUUCGAUCAAGAGUUACCUUUGGAAUUUUACACUAAAUAUAUCGCCACUUCCUACUUAAGAUGCUUGUUCUAACAGCAUAUGGUAAAGGCAUCCGUACCAUAAUAUUAUCAAUAAAAUCGUCAGGGAGGUUGCCUAGUAUAUCGAAGGGUAAAUUUCUAAUGCAGUUUCUUUACAACUACAGCCAUUGUUAGACUUAGAUAAUAGUAAAAUCAAAGAAGAUGAAGUAAAAAGUGAAGAUUGUGAUUAUGGAAGAAGAAGAUGAAAGAAACAUGUUGACAACUCGAUAUUUUGAAGAUGGAGCACCAAAAGACCAUGGACGGAUCAACUUAUAAACCUAAAUUUUAGGGGUAUCGAUUAAACAAUCCCAAGGUAGAUAUGUAUUGAGCCCUAAUUUAGAAUUCAAAUGUAUAUAAAAGAACGUCUAAAAUGCAUCAAAGUUAAUAUUGGUUCAUUGGUUAAGUAAGCGUAUCUACUAAGCAGCCGUCUCGAGAUCGAAUCUCACCUUUAACAUGGUGUAUUCUAAUAUUUUCCAAUCAAGCCAAUUUAUAUUUUUUUCAGUUUUAUUUCAAAAAGGGGUAAACAAUUAGUAACAUUUUUUAUCUACUUAAUUUACAUUUUGAAAAAAAUAGGUUAAACCAUUCCUUUUUUUAAAGGGUCAAACCAUUCUCUUUUUUAAAAGGUCAAACCAUUCUUUUCUUUGGGGUCAUUGUAAUGUCGGCCGUCUAGAUAAUAGCCGUUUAUGGUAAGCUCAUACAUAUCAGCCUAUACCAACCAUAUAAGUCCAUUCACUACUAUGAUUUUAGUAAGGUAAUUAUAUCGUUCUGGUUCGUAGUAAUGUCGGCCGUCUAGGUAAUAGCCGUUUAUAGUAAGGUCAUACGUAUCGGCCUAUAGCAACCAUAUAAGUCUAUUCACUACUAUGAUUGUUGUAAGGUAAUUGUAUCGUUGCGGUUCGUUGUAAUGUCAGUCGUCUAGAUAAUAGUCAUUUAUUGUAAGGUCAUAUGUAUCGGCCUAUAGCAACCAUAUAAGUCCAUUCACUACUAUGAUUGUAGUAAGGUAAUUAUAUCAUAGUGGUUCGUAGUAAUGUCAGCCGUCUAAGUAAUAGUUGUUUAUAGUAAGGUCAUACGUAUCGGUGUAUAGAAACCAUAUGAGUCCAUUUACUACUAUAAUUUUAAUAAGGUAAUUAUAUCGUUGCGGUUCGUAGUAAUUUCGGCCGUCUAGAUAAUAGCCGUUUAUUGUAAGGUCAUACGUAUUGUCCUAUAGAAAUAUAACGUAAAUCAAGAUAAUAUUAGAACUAAUGUAUUGUAGCUUCUUUUUUAGGAGGACAAACAAGAGACAUUUUUUGACUAAAAUGUUAAAUACAUAUUUCGGAGGUAAGCAAAGGGAAAAGUAAAAAUACAAUUGGAGGGAAAUUGAAAGUUUUUACUCUUUAUAUAUCUCUUAAACACAAGAACAACAUCUCCAACUCUUUAAACAAAAUAGAUACCAUGGACAUGAAUGCUAACGUACGGAUUGAAAGAAUAGAAGAACAACAUCUUCAACUCUCUAAAUAAAUUAGAUACCAUAGACAUGAAUGCUAACGUAUGAAUUGAAAAAGAAUCUAUGCAUGGUUUCGGAUGAAGGUUCCCAAAUCGUGAAUUAAGCGUGAUUUUUGGUAACUUUUUUUUUUAUUAAAUUUUCAUGAUUUGAUAAUUUUUUAUUAUUCCAACUAGCCAUGAACUCUGAACCCUAUUUAUACAUUAUGUUCUUGCAGUUUAUUCCAAAGAGAUUAUGUGGCUAUCUUCCUCCAAUCUCGGUAAAAAAAUGAUUCGAUGUAAUGGGAAGGAGUGGUCAGUGAUUUUGAAAAGUGAUGUUCGUAGAAGAAUUAUCAAUAGGUGAAAACAAUUUGUUGUCGAUAAUAAUCUGAACAAAGGGAAUGUCCUUCGCUUUGAACUAGUUGAGGCUACAUCAGGGGUUGUGAUCUUCUCUGUUGAAGAGUUAGGAUUAACUGAUAUUUAGAUUGAUAAUUUCAUCUCUUUAAUUAUAUGUAAUGACUUCAAAUGGAUCGUAGUAUGAUUGUUCUCUUUAGUAAUGUAUUAAUAUGGUUGUUCUUUAUAAUAUUGUUUGACUUUUUCCAUUUAUUAUUGUUAUAUAUUUUUUAUUUCAAGAAGACUAAUUUUUUAUAAAUAGCCAAUUAAAAUUGGGAAGUCAUUAAACAUUGAACAAGUCCCAAUUUCUUUCUAUCAGUUUACAAACAAGAACAACACUACGAAUAUUAUUUCCUUUUUUCCAAAAACAGUUUAAAAAUCGACAUCAAAAGCUAAACCUAAAUGUAAACCUAAACAAACCUAAAUCAAAAGAGAACGUAAACCUAAUGCUAAACCUAAACCUACACAACGAUCAAAUAAUCUUUUUAAGGAUAGAAUAGGAUGGAGAGUGACCAUCGGUUAUUUUUCACUUUCCAUCAAAGUGGGUUAGUGGGGAGUUAUAACCAUAUACAACUUUCCAUAAUUUAUAUUUAUUUAACAACAAAAUAUAUUUAUGUUAAACCAACAUACUCACGUAGGUCAUAAUAUGCAAUCUUUACAUGUAUUAAUCAAGCCUUCUAAGGUAAGACUAUAUGAGAUAAAACCUAUGAAGUGCACUAGCAGAAUUUUAAAAAUAAAUUAAAGAGAAACUGUCAAAAUCUGCAUAAGCGGGUGGAUAAAUUAAAGACAAGCAUCUAUAAUUAAUUGUAGUCAUGGAGAAGUGUAAUGGUGCAUACAGGAGUGAAAUAUACUACUGGAAACUGUAAUGGUUGCAUGAAGGAGUGUAAAGGUCUAUUGGGAAGUGCAAUUGAUGCAUAGAGGAGUGGAAGGGGUUGCUAUUGGGAAGUGUAAUGGUUGCCUAGGAUCUAUACAAAGACACUUUAAUUCCUACCGGGAAGUGGAAAGAGAUUAUAAUCCUCCCUAUAUAUUUUUCUGAAAAAAUAUGCUGCACCUACAUAAUACAAUCAAACUACAAAUACUACAAAGCAUAACGAUGGAUAAGACCCCGACAAAGAAACCUGUUGAACAAUCGCUGGAUGGCUCACCUGUGAGUCAUAACAUCUUGUACCAAGAUCUGAACCGUGAUUACCCAAGCUGAACCGUGAGGUUACAGAGUUGAUUUAGAGGGUGGUUCAAGAUAGUAGCAUAGAUUACCUCAAGAGUGUCAUUCUGGAAUAGCAUCCCCUUACUACGCUCUAGGCUAUGCUUGACGAUAUGCCCACACCAUCCAUCCAGAGUGGAGCUAAGAGCAAUUCUAUGAUUGUUAUCACUAGUGAUACCGAGUCCGCCUCCAAGACUUCAAAGUCUUUUUUAUUGAACCAGAAUAUUGAGUAGUUAUGAAGAUUUGUUUCGUUUCUUUUUGAUUAUGUGUUUGUUCGUCUAUGAAGUUUUCUCCCCCCCCCCCCCNNNNNNNNNNNNNNNNNNNNNNNNNNNNNNNNNNNNNNNNNNNNNNNNNNNNUUUUCCCCCCCCCCCCCCCAAUACUUUAUAUUGAUGUUUUUAUUUAUAUUUUAAUCUUAUCACCCAAUAUCGUAUUAAUGAAGCAAAUUAUUUUAUUAUUAUGGUUUGAAUCUUUUUUAUAUUUAAUAUUUUUUAUGAACUUUUUCCAGAUGAUAACCUGGGUCUUGUAUUUGCAAUAAUCGAGUUUGAUGAUACAUCAAAAGGGUAUAUAAAACCCUUCUAAAAACAGCGAGGCCUAAUGAACAUUUGAUUAAAGUUAACAAAAUAGUCCUAUCUUAAUGCACGUAUUUAAUUUAUUCGGAGCUAUUAGAGCGGGAUCCACUUUUUGGGGAAUAUGAGUCGAAGCAAUAACAAGAAUAUUUCUAGUAGAAAAAAUAAGUAAAAGCAGAAUGAAAGACAACCGGUGGCUCACUUUUUCUAAGUAAUGGGGAAGAGGACCGAAACGUGCCACUGAAAGACUCUACUGAGACAAAGGUCCAGGCGUCCCAAUUCUGAUAUUCCUUUCCCUCCGUUGAUCGAUCAUUAAUUCACUUCUUUAGGAAGGAGCUGAGUUUGUUUUCAAUAUUCCAACUGUUCGUUUGAUGCCUAAUGAAAUGAAAGUACUAAUAAUAACAUUUGUAAAGAUUACUUAAGUACUCUAAAAAUUUUCAAUUUAUUUUUCAAAUUAAUAUAGCACAUGAAACUUAUGAUAACAACACUUGAUAAAUAGGAAAAUCUAUUGUCAAUAAUUAUGAAGAUAGUUUAGUACUUCAAGAUUCAAAAUAUAGCACGUACUGAACUUAUGGAGAUAGUUGAUGAGUACUUGAAGAUAGUUGAAUGCUUAUGAAUGAAUGUAGUAGGGAUUAAAACAAGUUCAAAAAUAAUAACACCUUGGCACUUAUAAGGUUCCAAAAAUAUAGACAAAUUGAAACAUUCAGUUCAUUUAAUAAUAUUUUUUAAAAAAAAUUAUAUUCUUAUUUCAUUCAAACACGGAGUACAAAAGACAAAGCCUUUGUCAUCCUAAAUAAAAAGGCUUUGGCAUCUAUUCUACAUGGAUUGAAUGUGGCAACCAGUAACACAUCAAACUAAACAAUCAAACUGAUAAUAACCAAAAUAAAUAAUAAUCGAACUGAAUAAUUUUUUAAAAUUUUCAUCUCUACAAAUAUUCCAGCUAACAACACAAAUGAUAUAGCACUUGCUCCAAAAUCACUUUCAUCAACACAUGAACUUUAAGAUUGUUUUUCGCUGUAAAAAUCGUUUUUUUGGAAUUCAUUAAAUGAUGCUAAUGCGUCAUCAUAAGAUUUGUAAGACUUGAAGAUGGUUCCUUUGAAACCUACAACCAUAGGAGCACACUCACACCAAGAGUUGUAUAAUCCUGGCGUUUUACCACGAAAUAUUAAAUACACCUUUGAUGAAGAUAUGUUAUCUGCUUGAGAUCCAUUUCUAAACUCAUUAAAAUCUGCUAUGGCUUCAUCAUACGUUUUGAAGGCCUUGAAGAUGCUGCCCUUGACAUUAAUAACCAUAGGAGCACAGUGAUGCCAAGAGUUGUAUAAUCCAGGCGUCUUACCACGAAAUACUACAUAAACUUUCGAAGCAUUAUUCCCCUUCCCGUGGUCCAUUCCUUAAUCUAAUCCUAAGAAAGAUAAGAGAUGAAGAAGGAGAAAACAAAGAUAGAAAAAUGGGGGCUGGAAAAGCUUUUUUGGUUUAGCCAAAUAUAUUAAGUGUUUAGGAUUAGAAACUGACCACUUUAAUCAUAAAUAUCAGUAGUAUAAUUUUUAUACAUAUUUUCUCCAAUUUUUAAACGUAUUUUCUCUAAUAUAUUAUCUGUAUAUUUUAGUGUAUUUCGAUUAAUUGGUAUAGUAUAUGUAAAUUUUAGUGUAUUUCGUUUAAUUAGUAUAGUAUANNNNNNNNNNNNNNNNNNNNNNNNNNNNNNUUUAAACGUAUUUUCUCUAAUAUAUUAUCUGUAUAUUUUAGUGUAUUUCGAUUAAUUGGUAUAGUAUAUGUAAAUUUUAGUGUAUUUCGUUUAAUUAGUAGUAUACAUGUAUGUGCUUUGUGGAAAUUGAUAAAGCAUGCAUCUUUGAAAGUUAAGGCAAAUAAAUUAGUGAGACAGAAUUGUUGAAAAAAUGAGUUUAACACCAAAUAUCUAUCAAAGGGUAUAUAUGGAAAAUAAAAGUGCACAAAUAUCCAUUAUGCCCUCAAAAACCGUGUAAAGUUAUCAUUAUACCUCCAUUGGGGACAUUUGGUCCAUUCUUAAUGUGGCCAAAUAUAUUUUCGGUUACAUUAAAUAGGGAUAAGAAAAAACUGUAUUGAAAGUUGUGAUUUCAAUGUUAAAUUAUAAUUGCUGCCUGAUAUCUAGGAUUCCUUUUGGGAAAGGAAUCUUUUCCUCAUUUUCAUGAUUAGAAAAAAUUUUAUAUUAGCUUUGUAAUUCCUACGAUAAUUCGAGUCCUUGUUGGAUUCAUUGUCUCCGCCGUAGCCAGACGAAUCCCAUACGGAAAAGAAUAAUAGCAGUCGUCUCAAACAUUCGAUCCUAUAUCGGCGCUUAUUUUCAACUUUCGCCUUUUGACAUCUAUAAAUACAUUAUACUCUUUUAUUUAUUAGCAUCACUUUCAGCAUUUGCAAACAAUUUUCAGUCCGCUUUUGACGCCUUCGAAUCAUUAACACAAAAGUUAUUUCUUCUAUUUUCUUGUGCUUUUCUUCCUCUAAUUUUUUGUAGGUCAACAAGAAGGAUGUGUUUUUAUUUAAUGAGAUGAUCCAUGCAUGAUGAAUACAAUCAUAUGGUGUGGGGGAUGAGUACUCAUACUUCCCCAAAUAUCGGAGAAAUUACCCUCAAUGUGUCUUGAUUAUCAGAGAGAUUACUCUCAAUGCGGCCUGACUAUUUGAGAGAUUACUCUCAAUGUAUCUUGUCUAUCAGAGAUAUUACUCUCAAUGUGCCGUUCCUAUUAGAAAGAUUACUCUUAAUUUGGCCCUACUAUCGGAGAGUUUCUCUCAAUGUAUCACGACUAUCGGAGAGAUUACUGUCAAUGUGGCUCGACUAUCGGAGAGAUUACUCUCAAUAGACUUACAUGUCUACCUUAAGAUUGGAAAGUAUACUUUCCUUUAACGGAAAAACCCACGAAGAGGCCAACUUAAGUUACAAAGGGACUCAUAUGUCCACCUUAAGAUUGAAAAGUUAUAGUUUCCCUUUAAGGACAAACCCACGAAGAGGCCAACUUAAGGUGCAAAGGGGAUCAUAUGUCCACCUUAAGAUGUGAAAAUUAUAAAGUUCAACUCGAAAACUUCGUGGACUUGAAAAAGUCGACUUGAACACUUGAAAAAACUUUGAAGAUUUGACAGACUUUGCAUACUUCAACUUGAAGACAAACUAACUUGAAGAUUUGAUGGACUUAAAGAUUCAGCGGACUUUGAUGCUUCAACCUGAAGACUUUGAUGGCUCAAAUAGUUCAACCUAAAGACCGGAGAGUUUGAGGACCUCAACUUGAAGACCGGCGAGUUUGAGGACCUCAACUUGAAGACUUGGAGACUUAAAUAUUUCGACUUGAAGGCCGAAGAACUUAAAGACCGGCAGACUUAAAGAUUUGGCAAACGUAAAGACAUAGUGAACACACGGAUUUCUGCGCAAAUACUUGGUAGCCUCCAAAAAGACAAUAAUAGUACCAUUGAACACAUUGGUUUACCAUGGAGGCUUUCCCCCUUAAAUCAAAUGGGAUGCAAAAUUUAAUAGAAGAAUGGUAUCUUAGCUCGAUUUUCAAGUGCUGAUUAGAAGAAUUACAUUCCAUUGUACUUUAUUCGGACAACGAUUGGGGGAUAAUGUAUCUUUUGAACUUAUGAGACUACACUCAGAAUGAAACUCUAAGAUGCCUACGUACUUCGAUACAGAGGAUCAAGUCAUACCGUAGUUCAGAAUGAAUGGUUUUUUUAUUUAAUAUUUUAUAUCCUGACAUUUUCCUAGGCUGCCUCUUUCUAGAUUUUCAACCUAGCGGACUCUUUUUUUUUUCUUUUUGUAUGUCGUAUCCAGUUUACAAUCAUGCGGGGAAGGACUGUAGGGACAUGUAAUUUAGGUCGUGUGUCAAGGAGCGUUGCAACUUCAGGCUAAUACUUCUUUAAGAAUUUUCCAUUGAUAAGGCCGAUUCUCAUACCAUUUGCAUCAACUAGAUUGUAACCCCACUUGAGUAAGCUUCUUGUACGACAUAUAUCCCAUCCCAUUUUUAAGUGAACUUCCAUACAUGCUUAUGGGAAUUAAUAAUAGGUGUUCGUAUGGCAAGGACUUGAUCUCCCAUUUGAAAUCAUCUCGGGCGAACUCUUUUAUUGAAUGUGGGAGACAAUCGAGCUUGAUAACAUUCAAGACUCUAUUGAGCUUCCAACCUCUUUUCAUCAAGGGCCUCUAACUCUUCGAAUUGAAGUCGAGCAUUUUCUUCAUCAAUGAUCCCUUCUUGAAUAACUAAUCGAAAUGAAGGUAUUUGACGCUUGAGUGGAAAGACGGCUCCGACUCCAUAAACGAGUGAAUAAGGGGUCGCUUGUAUUGGCGUUCAUUGAGUUGUCCUAUAUGCACACAGAGCUUCUUCCAUAUGGUCAUGCAAUACAGUUUUUAUUUGGAGAAGAAUUUCUUCAGAAAAUUGCGUAGAGUAUUGGUAAAUGCCUCGGCUAGACCAUUGGCGGCAGCAUUGUACAUAGAAGAGUUACGUUGCUUGAAGCCAAAGAUAUCACACAUCUUGUUCAUAAACCUAUUGUCAAAUGGCUUGUAAUUAUCUGCUAUUAUGUAAUGAGGAACGCUAAAGCGAUAAAUAAUGUUUACUCAGAUUAAACAUGUAACAUUUUCCUUCUUUACUUCCUUAAGAGCAACAACUUCAACCCAUUUUGAAACGUAGUCAGUUGCAGCCAUGAUAUGUGGGUGCCCUGCAAAGGACUUUGGUAGUGGUCUAGUAAACUCCAAUCCUCAAACGUCAAAUAGCCAGGAUGCAAUAGUCGGGUGCAACACUUCAUGAGGUUGAUGAAUAAAAUUCGCAUGGAAUUGACAAGUUGUACAUUUUCGAGCGUAGUCCAAGCAUUCUUUUACCAUCGUUGGCCAAUAAUACCCCAUCCUUAUUUAUAUCAAAGUGGAGCUUUGGUCCUGACUGGUGUGAACCACCUACCCAGAAUGUUCUUCUUGCAAAGGUGGGAGUGCUUCAUCUUUCCCUAAGCAUCAGUACUCCCUUGAAUGACCUUCUGCAUAGAGUAUCUUUAUAAUAAAGGAAGUGAGGUGCACGACGACGGAUUGCAGUCCUUCUCUUCAGAUUUUCUUGAAGUAUCCCAUAACUUAAGUAGUCGAUAAUUGGUUGUUGCCAUUAUUUUAUUCUCAGUUUUCGAAACAAUGACAAGAUACUUGAAUUCAUUUUGUUCACCAUCAUUCCAAUUUAGCAGUGGUACUACCCAUUUUUGGCAGAUAGUAACUUGCGUUUGGUAAGGCAGGGUUAACGAUGACGCUAGGGCAGCUAAAUCAUCAACCUCCUUUUUUCUUUCCUUGGCGCAUGUUGAAUAGUCACGUCACCGACCCACUCCACUAAAUUUUUAGCAUAAUUAUGAUAUGGGCGCAGUUCAGGUUUCUUAACCUCCUAACUAUCUAAAAGCUAGUUGAUCACCAAAGAAAAGUUACCAAAGACUUGCAAUUGUAACCGCUUCAUUUCGAUAGCCAUUUCAAGCCUAUGUAUAAUUAAUUGAUACUCACCAACAUUGUUAGAGCAGAGUUGUGUCAACAUAAAUGAGUAGGGCAGUACUUCACCUUGAGUAGUGACGAGUACUACACCAGCACGAGCUCAUCCACGAUGUGCAUCACCAUCAAAGUACAUAUUCCAUGAAGGUUAAACUUCAAUGACCAUUGUGUCCUCCUCAAGUACUUCUUUAUUUAGCUACCAAUCAUCAUGUAUAGGGUGAUCUGCUAAGAAGUAUGCUAAUUCUUGCCCUUUUUAUAGCCUUUUGAGGGAUGUACAUAAUUUAAAAUGGUUGAAACUGGAGGUACCAUCUAGCUAGUCGAUCACUAAGGACAUGUUUUGAUGGGAUUUGCUGAAGAUACAAGGCUAACAACAUGAGCUUGAAAGUAGUUCUUCAAUUUUUGAAUUGAGAAGACUAGAGACAAGCAUAAAUUUUCGAUUGGCGAAUAGAUUAGCUCGCUUAGUGUCAUCAUCCUACUUAGGUAGUAAAGAGAGUUUUUUCCCCUCACCAUUUUUGGCCAAUAGUACUUCAAUAGACCUUUCUUGUGCCGAAAUAUAUAGUAUUAAUGACUUUCUAGGUAUGGCGGCUACCAAAACUGGAGACUUCAUCAAGUAAGUUUUAAUACUUUCAAAGGCAUUGCUACAAGCUUGGUCCCACUUUAAAGGAAUCCAUUCUUUAUGCGGCGACUGAAUGGUUGGCACCUCCCAGCUAGGUUUGCGAUGAAUCUUUUAAGUUAUGCUAGCUUUCUUUAUAGACAUAUCAAUUCAUAAAUAUCUCGAGGCUCAGUAAUAUUCAAAAUGGCAUCCACUUUGGCUUGAUCAAUUCCGAUCCCUCAAUGUCGGACAACGAAGCCACGGUGUUUUCUAGGAAUAACUCCAAAGGAACAUUUCAAUGGAUUAGUCCUAAGUUGGUACAUCUGGAGAAACAAAAAUACCAUUCUAAAGUUUUUCAAGUGGUUGUUUUUCUCUUUUUAUUUUACCACCAAGUCGUCAACAUAGCAUUCGACAUUCUUGUAGAUAAGAUUAUCAAAAUAUUUCAGCAUAGCCCUUUGAUAAGUAGCACUAGCGCUCAUCAAGCCAAAAGGCAUUACCUUGUAUCAAUAAAUACCUUCGGGGGUACGAAAUGUAGUAAGCUCUUUAUUUUGUUGGCGCCGUGAGAAUUUUGUAUAGCCCGAUGAACCAUCCAUAAAUUACAUUGCCUCGUACCCAGUAGUGGCAUCAAUUAUCAGAUCCGAAAUAGGAAGAGGGAAUUCAUCUUUCGUACAUGCAUCAGUGAGAUCCCUAAAGUCAACACACUUGAGUCUGGCCAUUUUCUUUGUUAUAGGGACGAUUCAUGAAACCCAUGUUGGGUAUUUAACUUAACGAAUAAAUCCAGCUUCGAUGAGUUUGUUAACAUUGGUUUUAAUCAAGGGAACCAAGUACGGCGUAAAGAGCCUUUGAGCAUGUUUAACAGGGCGAGCACCAUUCUUGACUGCAUGGUGAUGGACUGCUACUUUCGGGUCCAAGCAAAAACAUCCAUGAACUCCUUGAGUAGCUCAAUACAAGUGCUAUCUUUAUCAACUUAUAGUAAAGAACUUAGGUAGGUGGGUCUUGGUUCUUUAUUGGUGCCAAGGUUGACUUCUUUUAAGGCAUCAAGUGUUGUCUUCACCACUUUUUCAAGUACAUAUGGAGCAUAUUUUACAUCUUUAUCAUCUUGAGGGUCCCCAGCGUUGAAGGAUAUGUAAUAAAACGGUGAAGCAUCCUCCAAUUUCUCAACAUCCUCUAUUAGAGACGAGACAUCAUUCUUGCCUAGUACUAUAACAUGAUACAAUGAACACACACUUUAUUCAUCUUCAUCAUGUUUCUUAGUGUAGACCAUAGUAUGUGGCUUUAACUUCAGUACUUAUUUACAUGAAACAACAAGUUUUUUUGUCGCCUCAUUCUGGAAGGAACCAAACUUUGGAAAUCCUUACAGAUUUUCUGGAUUAUGGGUGAAACAGGCGCUCUUAUGCUUCGAUAAUUUCUCUGCAAGUUGUUCCCCUUCUUUAAUGGACCCAACCUCUCAAAUACGGAGCCCCCACAGUUAGUUUAACAAGUCGAUCAAAUAUUGAAGGUCUGUUAGAACCGACCGAUUCAUCUUCUAUAGUGAUAUAUUGCUACUCACCCUUCUUAUUGUGAUAUCACUUGUGAUGGUUGCUUGUAUCCUAAAAUUUAUCAUGGUUGUGUUAUUGGAGCUUCCGAUAUAAGCUUCCCUAACUAUGACAGCUCAUUAGGAUUGUAUCUAGCUUUUGCAAAUAGAAUGUAAACGUUAAGAUCAAAACCUUCAUAUGUUCACUUUAUAGGGAUUGCCACAUUCUGCAAAUGAUUGUGGGCCUCAAUUCAUUUUACAAGAAGAUUUAACUCCUUAUCAUGUUAGUUUCGAGAUUAGAUGAUUCACCUUCAUCUUUUUUCCUUUUAGGGACAUAUUGGACCGCAUGAGUUGCUUUCUUUCCAUAAGAUGCAAUAUCCCUUCUACAAGAUUUAUUUAAGUUAGGUUGUAGCUACUCAGUAACAGCUUUGGCUUUACCAGCAGUCAUCUCAGCUCUUUUAGUUGUGGGCUCGUGAUUUUUUUUUCAUAACAUCAACAACUUUUAGCUCCUUCACUAUGAAUUUCUUUAAGUAGAACUUUGCAUUGACGAAGUGCGACUCAACCUCGGUGAAUGGCUCAUCAUCAACAACUAUUUUACUCUUGACUUCAUCCUCGUAGUAUUUCAAACAUUGAUGGUAGGUAUAUGGAACCACUUUAUUCUUAUGUAUCCAAGGCCUUCCAAGAAAGACGUUGUAUGAAGGCAUUGCAUCGAUUACAUAUAUCCAUGCACUUAAUUGCAUAUAUUUAAUGCUGAUUCCCAACCCGAUCGCACAUAUGGAUCUUUGUACCCCUUGAUUGAAUCCUUGGAUCAUUACAUGAAUUUAUGAGAAUUCAUUCCUUGGAAUAUAAAGUUCUUUCACAGUAAGAAUUGGCAAGAUUAUCAUAGAGGAUCCUCCAAUAACUAAAAUUUGAUUUACCCUUUCAUUAUGCAUAUGGACAACGUAUAAUGGACGGUUAUGAUGUGUCUCACCUAAUAGAAGAUCGUCAUUUGCGAAUGUAAAUUUUUCCUCGUACACGUUAACAUCUUGAGGAAUAGAUUCGAUGAGAAUUUUAGAAGAUGUUGCCAACGGUAGGUCAUCACUCUUUUUUCCUUUAUCAGCAUUUCUACAAGAGGCCCCAAUACCAUCACGGGAAAUCUUCAUGUGAAACCAACAUGGCAAGAAAUCAUUCAAAGUCACUAAAUCUUGUGACUUUUGAGGGUGGUGCUCCUCCACUUUUGCUUUCUUCAAACGCAUAACUGGAUUCUUUUUCAUUGUUCUUUUUCCCAUCAUUUUCAUUGUUUUUCGUUAUAUGAAUUCUUUUUGUGGGAUCCUUUUAUGGCGCCUACGAUGAGUCACCAACAUCCAACCUUCAUUAUCAUCGGUUGAUCGACUUCAACUCUGUUAUUCUCCAAUAAUUCUUCAUUUUUACUUUCUUUCAAACCAUAUAAUUCAUCUGGACUGAAUGAGCCAAAGGUGAUAGAGACUUGGUUUGCGCUUGCUUUUUCAUCAAGCACGAUUUUCUUUUCACGAGCCAAGUCCAUAACUCUGUCCUUGAAGACAAAGAACUUCUCUAUAGGAUGACUCAAGAGUCAAUGGUAUUUACUGUAAUUUUGAUUAUUCGUUUUACUAGCUUCCUUUCGCUACUUCAUAUCUAGGAGCUCAAGUAUAUUUAACUUGAUGAGUUAUUAAUAAAAUGGCUAGCAUAUCAGAAUCCAGAAAUGGAUACUCUUUCUCUUGCAUUUCUUUUAGAGUCAACUUUGCACUUGGCUUAUAUUGAAAAUAAGUGGAUUUCAUACAAUGUUUAUUGCUCGCCUUCGCCAUGAACUUCACAUGUGAUGUGUUGACUUUCAUGUCUUCUUUACUUUAAGACUAGGGUAUGAACUUGCCCUACGUCUUGAAUUCUUUCUUGUCAUGGGAAGCCUUUCAUUUCCAUUCGAGGCCAUGCUCAAUUCCAUGCCAUGGGCAUGAGUUGCUACUUUUUCAAAUGUGCUAGGCCAUAUACCUUUUAAAAUGUAGCCCAAUCCCCAAUGCAUGCCUUGGAUGCACAUAUCUAUGCCAGAAACUUCUAUCAAUACAUUUGAGGCUUACAUUCCUCGAAUAAUGGAUAAAGUCGAUAAUUGGUUCACCAUUAUAUUGACUAUUGUGAGUUCCACCUUGCUCACAAUGCACCUUAUGCUAUUAAAGAGAUUGAGGAACACUUCGCUAGUUGAUCCCAGCUGUUAAUAGAUCUCGCCUCGAGGUCUGUAUACCAAUCAAAAGAAUUUCUUUUUAGCGAGCAAACAAACUUCUUGACUAGGUAUUCUCCAUAAGUCCUAGAGUUGUUGCAUGUCUCCACAAAGUGCGCCACAUGUUGCGUUGGAUUGCCUUUACCAUCAAACUAUUGACAUUUUGGAGGUUGAUAGCCAACAAACAUCUUUAAAAUAUCGAUCCUUGCAGUGUAAGACUUUUUGUAUGUAAGGGAGGACUUGAAAGCAACUACACACUUAUUAUUUAUAGAUCCUUCAAUGAACUCCUUCAAUUGAUCGAUGGGGAUCGUCCCAUCAGAUGAAACAGGGAUAGCCUUAGCGGAUGUUACUCGUCUUGGGGGAGAAUCAAUCUCUAGAACUUCUGGGAUCUUAACAGGUGCAUGAGUGGAUUCUUCUUCCGUUAAGAUUCCUACCCUAUCUAUUAGCUUGUCGAUUAUAGAAUCUUGAUUUUGCAAUUAUUUAUUCAAGCUAACAAUUGCUUCCGUCAAGUUUGCCAGCUACUCAUCCACAUAUGAGGUGUUUGUCACUAUGACUUGCAUGAUUGUCGUGGACAAUGGAGAGUAGCAUCGAUUUUCACACAGAUUGAUCCUCGAUUUCCUUAAGUGAUAUAAGUGGGGAGGAUCCAUCACUUGAAGAAUCAUGAUAUUCCUUCACAGUAGAGUACUUGGAUCCGGAGAAGUCAAGUAUAGCAAGAUUUUUAUUGAUCUUUUCAGCAACAUCCCUUCCUCCUCUGGGUGUAUUUGUAGAAGAUUUUACUAGUUUUGAGAAUGAAGAUCCAAAACCAAGAGUUGAAUUGGAUGACACUUGGGGUGCAUGUUGUCCUAUCAAGCUUGCUGUUCUCCUCGUAACUGGUCCAAAGCUUCCAAAGGUAACAUCAACUAUGUUUUAAACAUCAGCAUAGAACCUGGAAUUAGCACCCUUGGUGGAAGUUGAACUGUCGUUCAUAUUCUUUUAAGCCAGUUUAAUGUUCUUGACAUUUUGUGAUUGAAAAGUUGAUAUGAGAUGUAAACUUGCGUCGACAAAAUAAAAUCAAGACUGAAAAAUAUUUCAUACAAUCAUUAUGAUUACUCUUACUCUUUUUCUCAACAGUAAAUAAAUUUAAGGGCAUUUGAGCUUGAACUUGAAUCAAUUUUUUUUUGCUACGAAAGAUGAAACUAAAUUUAACUUGCACAGAAUUUGAUUUGAACUUGUACUCUUUGAACCUUGAUUUGUUCUUAGUUCUUGAUCAUGGACUUCAUUUCUUGAAUUUGAACUUGAUUACUUGAAACUUGUAGAGGAAUUUAUAGUGUUUGAUCCACGAGCUUUUUCUUUAUUCUAGUUAUAACUCCUGGUGUCUUUUCUGGGUUAUGAAGACUCCUAUUUACAGUUGUAAGAGGGAAGAGUUAUUACCAUAACAAACUCUUUCCGACCAAUCAAAUCGAAGUAUGAUAAGGCCGCGUUUGAUUGGAUAGAACAUAUCACUUGCACACGUGGUGCGGUUUCAAUGCCUUUUCAACGUGACUUGGAAUGCCUUCUCGUUUUGAAAUGUAGCAUAAUCUUAUUGGAUCUUCCGUUUUUCUUAGCAUGCCACGUCAUUUGAUGUGUGGUACCAAUUUGGGCCUCUAGGAAGAUGAUGUCUUCAACCUAAUGAAGUGGGCUCAUCAUAUGUAGCACAAUUAAAUGGGUUUGCCCAAUUAUGUUAGACUUAUAAAAUUAAUUCAAUUUUAUUAGCUCAUAAUAUUUAUUUGAACAAGUAUAUUUAAAAUAUAGUCCAAAGUAUUUAUUGAAUUUAAAUUCAAUAAAUUUUGCAUGCCUUCUCGGUUAUUUACUUAAUUAUUUUAAAGGAUGAUCCAUGAUUUGAAGAUUUAGGAUUCACAAUUAAAUAUUAUAGAUAUUCAUUAAAUGUUUUAAUAUAUAUACAAAGAUUGAGCACAUCUACUGGAUUCCCAGGAACCCACAUAUUAGCCUCUGGAUCUUCCAGUGAUUCAGAGGAGCAACAAAACUAAUAAAUACAUAUCAGUCUCAAGCUUUUUGGGGUAGGUUGUAUAAAUCAUUAAAUUCUUUGUGCGUCCAAUCUUUGAAAAUGAUCAAUUAUUAUAGACCAGAGGGAGUAACAAACUUCAAAAAGUCUCCAGUCUUUGAAUAACCAAACGUGGGGAAUCCUGCAAAUUAAAUAAAUAAAUGUUGAAGUUAAAGUGGAACCAUGUAUGAUUUCGUCAGAGCAGUGAAUUGGGAGUAUUUAGUUCUGUAACCUUAUGCAAAUAAAAUUUGAGUAUUGAGAAGAAGAAGAUAUAUCAUGCAAAUACAAAUCCAAAUAAACUAAAAAUCUAUUUAUGUAAUGUCACAACUUUAUACAUUGUCUUUGAUCUUAAUUAGGCAUAUCUUGACAACGCAUGCUAACAACUUAACAUAUCUAAUAGAUUAUCAACAAGUGUUGAACCAAUUUAUGAGUUUCGUGAUACCAUUUACCAUAUAAUUCAAAAAUAAGACAUGAUGUUACCAUCGAGGUAUGAAUUGGUGUGGACAUGGUAAUAGAUGAAAUUAUAAUCGUCAUCAUGGUGAUAAUGAUAAAAAAUGAUUCUCAAAAUAAUCCUUCACUUUGUGAAAGUAAUGUUUGUUACUGAUUUUGUUGACCUAAGCGGUUUUGGUUUUGAUGAUUGAUAAAGCAAAACAAACAUGAACCAGGUCCAUGGACAAUGUACAUAGGUCACAGUUCGAUUUAAGCAAAAGACAUGCAUGUGCAAGGGAUAAGUAUAAUUGGUUAUUUGUGAUAUUCAUUGAAUGAAGAUGAUGCAUAAUUGAUAAGGAGCGGGAUUCCCUACUUGAAGAGAACUCUAUCCAAGAUAAAGAAAGACUUAGAAGAUGAAGAUAUCUAAAACUCUUCCUCCAAGGAAGAGUAAAUCAUUAGACUUCUAGUUACACUUUAUUUACUUACUCUAUAUAUAUCAGUUAUGUUCUCUUUUACAAGAGACACACAUAUACUGAAGAUCAGUAGAAUUGAGAGCAAAAUAGUAAGGUAUUUUGCGAGCAAUUCCUGUGAGAUUCAAGAGUGUCGUCCUAAAGCUACACGAACCCGAUUGAAGAACUAGUUCCAUAAAGAGUUGUAUGUGUCAUUCUUUAUUUCUAGUUCAAAGAGUAGUAGACAUUUUGAUUUAUAUGUUUCAUCUUUCUUAGAAGCAAAUUGUACUAGGUACAUGAGUUGUAUCAUUCAAGUUAGAGUUAACUUGAAGUAGUCGCAACAGCUUGUGGAGCAUUGUUACAGGGGGUUAUAGUUAAUCAUUUGGUUUUGCAAGAUGUUGUAAAAUCGAGUUGCCUCUUUCAAAUUAUAUUUAACUAGAAGUAAUUGCAAUAGCAUGUGGUGUGUUGCUAGAAGGGUUAGGGUUAAUACUUAGGUUUGCAAGAGUGGUAAGCUUUAUUGUUGGCUUAGAGUUGUAGUGAAAUAUUUAGAGAAAAUCAUAUGGGGCAGUAGGUCAUAAUUUUUUCACCUUUUGAGGCGGGUGAUAUUCAAGUAAUAAUUCUUGUAUUCUUUAAUUUGUGCAUUAUUUAUUAUUCAAUUGUAUUAUAAGGAAUGCAUAUAAGAAGCGGGUCCUUAAUUAAUUCAAUGCAGUUGAAAUUGGGCAACAUAAAAGUUACUCCCCUUCCGUUAGGCAUUAAAGUGUCAAAUAUCAUAUUCAACUUGAGAUUUUAUAAAGCACAUAUAUAUUAUUAUGUUACAUGACCAUUCCUUAAUUGAAUGUGGAAAUAAUAUGAUAAUCAUUCCGAAGACAUAUGCAUUCUUGGAAGAGUAUGAAAGUGUUAGUGAUAAUGAAUGUAGCACACUCACCUCUAGAAGAAGUUUGAGAUUAUGACGACCCAACUAGUUGUUUUGAGCAUUUUCACUUCGCUCGGACGUCAUUUGACAUGUUUCGGGCUUAAAUCUCAAGAAUUAAAAGUUCAUAAAUUUGGUAGAAAAUAAUGGAUUUUAAGGUUUAAUUCAAUAUUUUGAUAUUAUUUUGGCGAUUAGAUCGCACAGUUAAGUUCGUGGCCUGUGGUUGAGUUAGUGUGUGUGAUUAGUUUGGAAUACCGAGGGCUUGAGAAUGUUUCGGAGUGGUUGGAGACAUAGGAAUAUAGCAGAUUUUCUACAACUGUUGAAGCCCUCAAUUGUCUCCGCGUUCGCGUUCUGCCUUACGCGUUCGCAAUCCCUUUCGUGAUCCUUUCUUCAUGUUUGCAAUCCGCUUCUCACGUUCACAUAGUUCUAUCCUUCCUUCAAGCGUUCAUGUAUUCACUCACGUGUUCGUAUAGGCCAAAAUGUGGGACCCUAGUAUUUUUAUUCUUCGCGUUCGCAGCCUUCUCUCGCUAACGCAAUGCUUGUCCGCCCCUUCUCAUCGCGAAUGUGACCCCAUGUCGCAAACGCGUAGAGUGUUUUUCACCCAGCGAUUUUAAUUUUUAAAAAUAGAAUAGUGACAUGAUUUUCACAAUCUCUGAGAUACAUGGCAUUAGCAUGCAUAUAUGACAUAUAUGCACAUAGACGCAUUUCCUCAUUUUGUGCGGUAUCACGAUAUUCAUGAUUUCUUUCACACUCUUUGAUAUGUGGGCAUAGAGAAAUAUUUUACACUUGCUAUUUUGAUAGAAAAUGAAACAUAUUAUUUAUUUUGGAAAGGACUUUUGAGAAAAAAUUCGGUUUUCUAUCUCGUAUUUUUUAAAGAUUUUGGUAAAUUAACUAUUUUUUUUUAAGAUUGUGAAAACCUGAGCAUUUUAUGUCAGAGUUGCUUCCUUAUAUAUAUUCUCUCUAUGGUCAUGAAUUCUUGUUGUUUUCUGGUGUUGGAUCCGCCAGUUCCAGCUCAUCACUACCCUCAACCGAAGUAUAAUUUUGUUACAUAUUGAGUACAUUGGUUCAGUUGUACUUUUACUAUACUUCUUGCACAUUGCAUGCAGAUUUCGGAUGUCGAUGUUGCUUUGUUCGAUGAGAGAUGAACUGGAAGAUGUACCUCCAUUCCGGUUGUGGCUGCCUCUUGUUCAUGGUAGCCGUAGAUUUAUGAAAAAAAAUUUAUGUACUUUUCAAACACAAGAUGUAUUUUCUUCAUAUAAGCUUUGUGAACUUUAUUCUUAGAAGAUUAUUAUUUGUAUUACCAGUCCUUGGGAAAUGUAAAAAAUUAUGAAAAUUCUUUUGUUUAAUUGUUGAAUUAAUAUUAUUGAAAGUGAUUAUUGUUAGUUUGCUUACCUAGCGGGUUAGGUUAGUACCAUCACGACUAAUGGAUUUUGGGUCGUGAUAGAUUGGUAUCAGACCUCUAGGUUCAUAGGUUCUACAAGUCAUGAGCAAGUAUCUAGUAGAGUCUUGCGGAUCUAUAUGAUGAUGUACAUACCUAUCUUCAAGAGGCUACAAGGAAUUUAGGAUAUACUUCACUUCUUUCAUAUCAUGCGGCAUUGAUUCUGCUCGAAGCGUAAUCCUUUAAAUUCCUUCCAUGCAUUCGUAUGCACAUAUGAACGCUCAGUAUCAGCUGCUAAUCGAUGGCAUUUGAUUCCCUGAAGGAGGUGCGAGAUGUGAUUUCUCUGUGUUGAUGAUUGGCUUGUCUGGAGGACUUGAGGCUGCGUUUUGACUGUUUCUUGAGCAUAAAGGCAUUUAUUGUGUGAUCAUGUGCUUUUGGAUUUAUAGGUCGAGUAGUGUCCUUAUUAGAAGAAUUUGUGGGUUGAUGGCUACGUAAUGAGUAUGAUGUAAUUGCGAGAUGUGUUCAUAUGGUUUGAAUGCGACGAGAAGGGUUUUCUUGACGUGUAGAAUGAACUACUGGGUGCUUGAUUUCCAUAUUAAUGUUAUGUAUAGUCUCGAGUUAUGGGUGAGUUGAAGCAUCUUUUGAUGUUGUUUAGUUGAGGAAUGAAGUAGAUUUUCAUGAUGUUGUUGAUACCCAAUUUUUUCCUUCAUAUUUUAUAAGUGCAUAUAUAUACUUUCAAAAUGAUACAUAUGCAUCAUCAUUUAGCAUAUAAGCCUAUGUAAGCAUUUUUCAUAAUUUUCCAUAAUUUUAAAAGGCUUUAAAUUGAUUUAUUUCAGUAUUUUAUUAUAUAGAUAUUACGCAAUUAUCCUUAAAAUUAUUUUAUGAUGAGUUUAACAUCUAAACUUAUUAUUUACACCUAUAUCAAUGUCUUAAAAUAGUUUAAAAUAUUUUUAUAAUUACAUUUGCAUUUUAGGGCUAAUUGUACACCAUUGCAAUAGUAGCCCAUAAUAAUGUAUUAUUACAUUAUUUAUGCAGAAAAUAAUUUUUUAUAUUUUGUAAUGCUAAGUAAUUACUAUUAAUUAUUUUUGGUGCAAAAAUAGUAUUUUUUCUAUUUAUUAACUAUUUUUAUAAACUAUGUUUUCUAAAUAUUGGGUAUUUAAAUAAUAACCUAGUUCUAAACCUAAUUUCGGACCAAAAAUUACCCAAACCUCAGCUCAAUUAGCCCAUGCGCUGGCCCAAUAACCCUUAUCCUAAACCAUACUUAACCCGGUCAGUAUCCUUUUCAUUUUAACUCAUCUCGUUCGUUUAUUAAUCCCAUCUGUUGAUCUUUUGAGAUCAACAACCCACAUCCUUCCCCCCAUUUUUAAUUGACGAAACCCCCCAAACCCUAGCCAUUUCUUCCAACUCGUCGCCUGCAUAUGCUCUCGUCUCUCUUUAUCUUUGUCAAACCCUAGCUAUCUCACCCCCAAAUCCACUCUCCUAAUCUCGUUAAUAAUGAUAUUUUACCAUUAUUUGGUUACCUAAUUUGGUUUCCUUUCCUACUGGUUACUCGAUUUUUGUAUUACUUAUGUAUUUGCCUAAUUUUGGCUAAUACCACCUCUAUAUCGGACGAGAAUCGACUCAAUAUUUAACAUUUGUGUGAUAUUCCGUCCAUAUAUGCGAGAUGAACUUGAUCUUGCAUACCAGGUGUUCGAUUCUGAGCCUAAAGCCCUAACUAGGGUUUGGAGUUUGAUACUUGUUCCAUUUCUAUUGUUUUACUUACUUGAAUGCGAGAUUUAUCCCUUUUCUUUUUCUGUAUUUACUCGAUUUCUUUCCUUACCUAUGUUAAUCAAUCAUUUUUCUUAUUUCUGUAUCCAAUUUUACUGCUAUUUAAACCCGUACCCCAUCCCUUUUGGAUAGGACUUGAUUCAAUAUAAUCUUACUAAAAACUUGAGGCUUUACUCUGUGAAUUCAUUAUUAUCUCUAUCUUUACUUUUUGGUGGCCUGCUAAAUUCCAUGGCCAUAGAGAAUCUACUGUCCGAACUCUUGUGGAUCUUUUCUUUUAUUUGUUGUUCAUUUAACUGACAAGGGACUUGACUCUUGAAGUUUCAUCCCUAUGUGCUCAUGAUUUGUCCAUGUUCUCAACUCUGAAAUUUCUUUCUUAAUAUGUUUUCUGGAUUACUUUUGUGCACAAGUUAUUUAAGUAUACUUUGUUCUAAGUCUAUUAGCAUCUGACUCUCCUCCUAAUGCUACUAAUUUUGUGUUUGUCUAAGCCUAACAUAGGUAAUUUGAGUGCAGGGGUCUAGACGUUUCCCUAAUUCAUGCUUAUUUGUUUUGUCAUUAAUCUCUAUAGUGAAUACUAGAAUGUCUGUAUGACAUGUUCACUUAUUAUUUUGUCACUCAGCAUGCUCACUUGAUCCCCAUACCCAAUAAGUGCCUGAUAGAGAUCUUAACAUUUAGCUCAACCUGUUUUUCCAUGCCUUGCUUUGUGACAUGAUAUAUAUCUUUAGUCUAUUAUGACAAAUCCAAUAUAUCCAUAUGUGAUAUUUGGUAUGAGUUUUCUAUCUUAAAUUGUUCUAAGUCCUUGCACUGUUUGUUUUGCAUAUACAGUGUGUUGUAAUUUGUAUUAAAACAAUUUUCUAUCAACUAUGAUCUUGCUUCUAUGAUAAUAUGUUUUCCAGUCUGUCCCUUAUUAAUUUGAUACCCUGUUUCUUGCAGUGAUUAUCAUAAAAUGUGCUCCCCAUCAUGUCUAAAUAUUGAUUGGCAUAACCUUAGGAUGCAUGUUUAGCUUAAUUUGAACCUUCUAAGCCUUAAUUGGUUUAAUGCCAUGAUUGAAAACCUAUGCAAACUUGUUUCUUUCUCAACUUCUUCCAAUAUAUGGAUGUCUAUGUGGUACUCUGCUAUAUGUUUCUACACAUGCAGGGUUUUUUGAUUAGUUUCUCUCUAUGGCUAUGUCUACUUUAGGUUAUAAGUGUGUCCUCCCCACUUCUGUCCCUCAGCUAUUGUCCAUUCUCCCUCAUUACUUAUGCUAUUCUAAAUUUUUCAUUCUUAGCCGGCGAAAAGCCAAGGCUAUCAAGGCUCUUGCCACUGACCUCCCUAGUGUGACCACUGCUUGGGUUUCAUUUGAGGAACAAUCUAGGAUUUGGGUCUUUGAUCAUUUCGCCUAAUACUGAAACUUGCGCUAUCCCUGUCACUCUAUUCUUUUUGCCUAUGGUAUACUGAAUAUGUAAAUUGGUUUGUCAAUUCAUAGUUGUGUUAUCUAGCCUAAGUUCUUCUUUGGAUUUUAGGUUGUGUUGAUUCCUAGGUAUGCUGCAUGAGAGUUGCUGAAGGCCCAGGCAAUGUUGAAUAUUUAUGAUCCUACUGCCAUUAUUCGUGCAAUACUUGUAAUUACAUUACUAUUAGGCAUGUAAUAUCUUUGUAAUGAACAACUGGUAUUAGUAAAAAUUGGGAAUGGGUAGAUUCUUAAUGUUUACAUGAAAAGGGGUAGAUAAUGCCUAUAUGACUUAUUGAUUCCCUUAAUCUACGUGGCCCUCGAUCUAUAUAAAUCAUAUCAUUUGGAUAAGCAUAUACAUAUACACCGCCUAUACGCAAAUGUGAAUGCCACAAUUGUUUCAACUAUUAUGCAUUAUUGGAAAAUCUACCUAUAGGAACAAAGUUUCAAUGAACUAAUUUUCAAUUCGCCUUAGCAUUACCACACGAAAACAUGCCUAUAGGGUUAAUCACUUAAUUUUCUAUUGUCCAAUACUGUAAGAUAUAUAUCAUGCCAAUUGAAUUUUAACUUUUUAAAUUUGGUAUUUCCUUAUUCUGCCUGCCUAGAAAGCAUGCCUAUAGGGAUAAAGCGUAUAAAAUAAUGCCCGGUUGUCAAUCAUUAGAAAGAGUUCUCAGAGGAUGUUUGUUGACGACUUUAAUGCCCAUUUACAUAAACGCAUAGAUAUCAUGUUUAUAGGACCUACAAAAUACUAAUACAUCAUAAAUUAUAGUAUUAAAUUUAGAAUACUAUAAUUUAGAAUCACAAGCAAUCAUGUCUAUAUGUUUAAUAACUUAUAAUCUGCAAUAAUCAACAUGUAAUACCAAAUACGCCCCCUAAAAAUAAUAAUUGUCUAUAAGUGUGAAAUGGCACAUUUCAUCUGGAACUGCCCGUACUUUGGUUCAAAGUCAUCUAAAAAUCAUGUCUAUAGGUUUAAGGUUUUGAAUUCUAAAAGCUCCUAAUUUGCAUAUGUGUUUGCAUGCAUUUGCUGUCAAAGUGCGGGGUUCAAUCUGAACCUUUAUUUGGUUUUAUGUGAAGUCUUUAUAUAUUUUGCUUGUCGCCUAGAUUUUCGCAAUUUUGAGAAUCCCAGUUAAGGUCUAGAACCAUCCAAAUAGAGGUCAAAACCCCCUGGACCAUAAGCAUGGUCGGAUAGUGAACGUAUAACGCUAGGUUUUAGAAUCAACUAGUGCACUUUAGGUAACAAUUUGGUGAUAGUAAUCGGCUAGUAGUAGAUGAUAGUUUUUACCCGUUGAAUAAUACGAAUAACACCCCAUCUUGAGGGAGUUACGAAGAAUUAUUUAUAUCGCACGUGGUGAUCCUUUAGGCUAAAAUAUUUUGGAGCCCCCUCNNNNNNNNNNNNNNNNNNNNNNNNNNNNNNNNNNNNNNNNNNNNNNNNNNNNNNNNNNNNNNNNNNNNNNNNNNNNNNNNNNNNNNNNNNNNNNNNNNNNNNNNNNNNNNNNNNNNNNNNNNNNNNNNNNNNNNNNNNNNNNNNNNNNNNNNNNNNNNNNCCCCAUCUUAUCUUUAAAUCCAUCAUUUGUGUGUAAUAAUGAACCUCCCAAACUUGUUGUUUUGUUUUCUGCAAAAUUCAUAUUAUUUGAGAUCGGCCGGGAUCUAUAGUUGUGGACCUCAAUGAGUGCCUAACACCUUCUCUUCGAGGUAUUUUCGAGCCCUUACCUGAUCUUUGACGAGGCAAACUGGUUAAAACUACGUUAUUUGCAAAUAGGUGCCUUAUUUUGAAACCUUAUUUUGCGAGAAAAAGGGGCGCGAUAGCAUAACGACUCUGCUAGGGAUAUUUUUAGGCUCUUACCAUAAGAAAACUUUGUCUCUAUGAAUAAGUCUUCUCUGAAGGAACUGAAGAAGCAAUUAAAAGGCCUUAAUGCCUAUGUAACAAGUUACAAACAGAAAAUUGUGCAGGCAAGGGAAGCUUUAGAUAUUAUUCAAUGUCAGAUGCAGAAUCAUCCAUUCAGUCAGGAAUUNNNNNNNNNNNNNNNNNNNNNNNNNNNNNNNNNNNNNNNNNNNNNNNNNNNNNNNNNNNNNNNNNNNNNNNNNNNNNNNNNNNNNNNNNNNNNNNNNNNNNNNNNNNNNNNNNNNNNNNNNNNNNNNNNNNNNNNNNNNNNNNNNNNNNNNNNNNNNNNNNNNNNNNNNNNNNNNNNNNNNNNNNNNNNNNNNNNNNNNNNNNNNNNNNNNNNNNNNNNNNNNNNNNNNNNNNNNNNNNNNNNNNNNNNNNNNNNNNNNNNNNNNNNNNNNNNNNNNNNNNNNNNNNNNNNNNNNNNNNNNNNNNNNNNNNNNNNNNNNNNNNNNNNNNNNNNNNNNNNNNNNNNNNNNNNNNNNNNNNNNNNNNNNNNNNNNNNNNNNNNNNNNNNNNNNNNNNNNNNNNNNNNNNNNNNNNNNNNNNNNNNNNNNNNNNNNNNNNNNNNNNNNNNNNNNNNNNNNNNNNNNNNNNNNNNNNNNNNNNNNNNNNNNNNNNNNNNNNNNNNNNNNNNNNNNNNNNNNNNNNNNNNNNNNNNNNNNNNNNNNNNNNNNNNNNNNNNNNNNNNNNNNNNNNNNNNNNNNNNNNNNNNNNNNNNNNNNNNNNNNNNNNNNNNNNNNNNNNNNNNNNNNNNNNNNNNNNNNNNNNNNNNNNNNNNNNNNNNNNNNNNNNNNNNNNNNNNNNNNNNNNNNNNNNNNNNNNNNNNNNNNNNNNNNNNNNNNNNNNNNNNNNNNNNNNNNNNNNNNNNNNNNNNNNNNNNNNNNNNNNNNNNNNNNNNNNNNNNNNNNNNNNNNNNNNNNNNNNNNNNNNNNNNNNNNNNNNNNNNNNNNNNNNNNNNNNNNNNNNNNNNNNNNNNNNNNNNNNNNNNNNNNNNNNNNNNNNNNNNNNNNNNNNNNNNNNNNNNNNNNNNNNNNNNNNNNNNNNNNNNNNNNNNNNNNNNNNNNNNNNNNNNNNNNNNNNNNNNNNNNNNNNNNNNNNNNNNNNNNNNNNNNNNNNNNNNNNNNNNNNNNNNNNNNNNNNNNNNNNNNNNNNNNNNNNNNNNNNNNNNNNNNNNNNNNNNNNNNNNNNNNNNNNNNNNNNNNNNNNNNNNNNNNNNNNNNNNNNNNNNNNNNNNNNNNNNNNNNNNNNNNNNNNNNNNNNNNNNNNNNNNNNNNNNNNNNNNNNNNNNNNNNNNNNNNNNNNNNNNNNNNNNNNNNNNNNNNNNNNNNNNNNNNNNNNNNNNNNNNGAGAGGCAUAAGACAAGGAGAUCCCAUGUCUCCCUACCUAUUUGUUUUGGCUAUGGAAUAUCUAAACAGAAUUCUACAACAGAUCUAUAAGGAUGGAAACUUCAAUUUUCAUCCUAAGUGCAGGAAACUAAAUAUCUCUCAUAUAUGUUUUGCCGAUGACCUUCUCAUGUUCUCUAGAGCUGAUGUGGUAUCAAUUCAGUUACUGCAUAAGGCUUUUCUUCAAUUCUCUACAGCUUCUAGAUUACAGGCUAAUACCAGUAAAAGUGCUGUUUAUCUGGAUUGUGUGCAACCAAAAUACAGUGAGGAAAUUCCUGAUACCUUGGGGUUCAGUGUAGGAACUUUGCCUUUUAGAUACUUAGGGAUCCAUUUGGAUUCCAAGAAGUUGGCUAUACACCAUUAUCUGCCUUUAAUUGAGAAGAUUUAACUUGUUGGUCUGCUAAGUUCUUGUCAUAUGCAGGCAGGUGUCAGUUGAUCAAAGCUGUGGUUUUUGGGAUGCAGUCUUAUUGGGCUCAGAUAUUCAUCAUUCCAAGAAAGGUUUUGAAAGUCAUUGAUUCUGUAUGUAGAACAUUUCUCUGGACUGGUAAAGCUGAUAUAUCAAGAAGAGCAUUGGUGGAUUGGGAGACAGUAUGCACACCUAUUUCUGCUGGAGGUCUCAACAUCUUAAACUUAUAUGUGUGGAACAAGGCAGCUGUCACUAAACUGUUAUGGGAUUUGGCUAGGAAAAAAGAUUGCUUAUGGGUUCGUUGGGUGNNNNNNNNNNNNNNNNNNNNNNNNNNNNNNNNNNNNNNNNNNNNNNNNNNNNNNNNNNNNNNNNNNNNNNNNNNNNNNNNNNNNNNNNNNNNNNNNNNNNNNNNNNNNNNNNNNNNNNNNNNNNNNNNNNNNNNNNNNNNNNNNNNNNNNNNNNNNNNNNNNNNNNNNNNNNNNNNNNNNNNNNNNNNNNNNNNNNNNNNNNNNNNNNNNNNNNNNNNNNNNNNNNNNNNNNNNNNNNNNNNNNNNNNNNNNNNNNNNNNNNNNNNNNNNNNNNNNNNNNNNNNNNNNNNNNNNNNNNNNNNNNNNNNNNNNNNNNNNNNNNNNNNNNNNNNNNNNNNNNNNNNNNNNNNNNNNNNNNNNNNNNNNNNNNNNNNNNNNNNNNNNNNNNNNNNNNNNNNNNNNNNNNNNNNNNNNNNNNNNNNNNNNNNNNNNNNNNNNNNNNNNNNNNNNNNNNNNNNNNNNNNNNNNNNNNNNNNNNNNNNNNNNNNNNNNNNNNNNNNNNNNNNNNNNNNNNNNNNNNNNNNNNNNNNNNNNNNNNNNNNNNNNNNNNNNNNNNNNNNNNNNNNNNNNNNNNNNNNNNNNNNNNNNNNNNNNNNNNNNNNNNNNNNNNNNNNNNNNNNNNNNNNNNNNNNNNNNNNNNNNNNNNNNNNNNNNNNNNNNACCAGUGGAGAAAUGCAAUCACUGCAUCUGCAUUUAUCACUACUGUUGCAUUGAUUUGGAGAAUAAGGAAUCACAUGAGGUUUGAAGGUGCUAAUUUUGUGGAAGAGUUGAUAUAUAAGGAGAUUGCAUUAUUGACACAUCUUUGUGGAAGAAAUUGCAGACAAUGGCAGGAUGGGCUGCGACAGCUCAAUUACUAUCCUUAGCUUGUUAGUUACUGCUUAAUGAUAGGAUACAUGUAUGUAAUGAGAGUAGAAUUGUAUAGUUACACUGUUAGCAUUGAGUAUAGAUCAGUAGCUAGUCCAAAUGCUGCUGGAUAGGAAUAUUGUACAUCUUUUUUGAGAUCAAUGGAAAAGCAAGUUUAAUCUAAAAAAAAUGUGUCUUUAUAUUUUUUGAUGUUACAUGAAUAGCCUGCUCCCGGUUCCCUUUUAUUCCUACCUAUGCAUCUUUUUCCCUGGUUUUCCUUUAUUCAAAUUCGCAUGCAAAUCUCUACUCAACUUGACCAUAACACGCACUUUGCUUUAGACAUUUUUUUGUUACAUCAUGUCUCUCCCUACCCUCACUCUCUUGUUUACUUUAUUACAUAGGCCACAUAGCCUGACUAACCUCUUCCAUGCUUUCCUUUCUUUUUUAUGUCCUUACAUUUCAUUUAAUAGUGCAUUAGUUGUUUUCAUCAUGCAAAAUAUGUGACAACACGUUGUUUUAUCUUUGCAUAAAGCAUGCUCCACAUCAUAUCCCACUCGUGCAUAACUAUUACCAUAAUGACACUGCAUGAGUGUUCGCGUUAUUCCUAAAUCACCCUUUAAAAUUGAAAGGUUUCAAUAAAAUUAGUGGAUCAACAGUGCAGUCGAUGGUUCCAUGCUUUUCCAUCUGAAGUUGUCCGCCUGAAGCUACCGGCCUAGACUCUUCUAGAAACUACCACUCUACAAUUCACUAUGCAUGCAUCAUGUGAAAACAUAAUAUGGUUUAGAAUGUUGUCCUCGUAAUAACUCGCUAAGAUAAGCCUUGUCCAAAGUCCGCCGGGAUUUCGAAAAAUACUAAUGUGAACAAUCACGAUCUCUGCAUUAUUUGGAGAAAAAAUGCUAAUAUGUUGAUCAUUUACAUAUAAAUAGCCAAAUUUGGAGGGGGAAAGGGCUAACAUUAUUUGUUUUUCAUAAAUGAGGCAUGAUAUCCCCAGGUUCAACAUGUUUCAAAAUAUCCUACCUUUAUUGGUGAUUGGGGUAAAAACUCGCACCAGGUGACAAAAACCAUGUGAAGAGUUUCCUCUGGAAUCUACCUUAUAUGUUUGAUAUUUAGCCAAAAAAUGCCUUAAUGGAGGCCGCCACCAUGUUAUGGGAAGAGAAAAGAGCCAUUUUCCAUGUUGGUGACAUAAAAAUGAUCCCUCUAUUAGAAGAAAUACGAGAUUUUGCUGGGCUUCAAUGGGAUACCCCUGGUUUGUUAGUACCGGAAAACCGCACUUCUCGAUGUUUCUUUAAAAUGAUGGGUAUUAUGGAAAAUGAUGAAUUAGCAUGUUUGAAGAAGUUUUGAAUACCAUUUAAUUUCUUCUAUGAUCAUUAUGGGCACAAGAAGUCGUACCGCCUUUACCAUUAUGAGUUUUCCAUCACUUCUUUUGUUGGACUCACCGCCGAUUUUUGUAUUCAUCAUCUGUUUUCAAGGGAAGUUGGUAUUUCCAAUACAAGGAGAAAGGAUCCACACUUUCCUAGCUAUGAUUGCUAAGACUUUAAUGGAGGGGAUUAAGGGGCAAACUUACACUAUUUUUCCUAUAAUUCUAGUUGAUAUGUACUGGGAUUUAGACCGUUGUAAAAAGGGGUAUAGGUAUUUUGAGGGUUAGAAUCUAUUACAGCAAGUGUGGUUGUUUGAGCGCCUUCAUAGAGGAGAAUACCGUCAAGUACAUCCACGACCACCAUGGAAUGACCACAAAGCCUAUCACCAUCCGAAGAGAAUGACUUUUAUUCCAAACAUGUCUGCGCAACCUGAAAAUGCUACGAGCUGGGCACAUUUCUUCAACAAUCUAAUUGAUGACAAGGUACAUUGGAUAUUAAUGUGGUUCCCUAGCAGUGAAUUCAUCAUUAGGUCGAGAGAUAAUUCUCAUCUAUUGCUAAUCGUAUUGUGGAAAAUAUAUCCCUAUGCUCCCACCAGAGUUAUGAUGCAAGCUGGGAGAAAGCAAGUUAUACCACGAGUAUUUAAAAUUAUCCAUACUUUGAAAACUUUCAAGAGAAUGCCAUUCCAUUCAAGAUCGAGGCACAACACAUGUGGAAUCAAAAGAUAGCUGUGGAGAAAUAUACCAUCGAGCAAGAUCAGUAUCAUCCCGACCACGUGCACAUCUAUCCAUCAUAAUUUGUAGAUGAUAUAGUGGGUGAUGUCAAGCCAAAGAUUAAUCUAAAGAAUAGGAUUGUACACGACACUGCUGAAGCACAAGUCAAAUACAAGAUGCUGUAAAAGAGAGUUUUGGAGUCUGAAUCCAGGCAUUUGGAAAAACAUAAAGUGGACAUGGAAGCAAUCAAUGAGUGGAGAAAACUCGCUACUAAAUGAGCAAAGAAGUUGAAGUAUUUGGAUAAGGGGUUAAUGGAGCUUGAAUGGAAAAUGAGAAAGAGGGUUGCAGGGUGUCAAAACAUGGAUGGCGAUGAAGGAAGGCUCCUAGCAAGGGCAUAUUUGCUAUUGUACAUAUGCGACCUGGGGAAUCUCAUCGAUGGAGCAAAGAAGGCCAAUCAUGGAGAAGGUUUCUCUGGGACAAAAUAGAUUAGGAAUGAUGUUUUACUUGCUUUUAGGCUCUUUUUAGACUUUCGUUGUAAUAAGGCAUAUGAAUUAGUGAUUUUUAUAUUUUUUGUCGUUUUAGUAGAUAUUUGGCUCUUUUAUCAUACUAAUCAAAUCCCACAGUUAUUGGCAUUCAUUUUCUCCAAAUCUAUAUGCCGCUUAGGCCUACCUUGGCACAAUAAGAUCCCGAGAUUAGGAAUCGAUUUAGAAUUUCGCUAAAUGGGAUUAAAUAUCGUAAACAUCCUUUUAAUACUCUUUACUGACUUGUUUACCUUAUUGUUUAUUUUCUUUUCUUUAUGUGUUUAUUACCAUCCCCUAAGGUUGGUUCGUGCAUACUAGCAUCAUCAGUAUAUCAUACCAGAUCUAGAGGUCCUCCUCCUCCUCCAAGUGAUCCCAUAAGCAAGGAAAAAUCCAUAUUGUAUGAUAUGAGAACACACAAUGCCUAAAACACAGAACCUUCCCAGAACACACAAAACGAACAAUGUGACGAACCCAAUGGUCAUCACCGUAAUUAUCCCUUUCUCCGUGUUUUAAGGCCUUGAAAAGCUCGCUUUUAGUUACCUCAAUUUGCAUGAGCUGUCCGAGCGCGAAGCCAGAAAAAUUUUAUCUUAAAAUAUGUGAAUUCUGUGGAACAUUUGAAAAAUAUUGAUAUUAAUAUUGAUAUAUUUGACUUUGGUUAACACUUUGGAUAAAUGGAUUCGGAAUCGUGAUGUGACGCCCCGAGAGGUCCUUAGGAAAAUAUUGAUUCGUGCGUAUUCCAGUAAUCAAAAUCCGAGGUCCCAAGCUCGAGUACGGAAUUUAUGAAAGAAAUUAUUUAUCUUAAAAUGAUAUGAAAAAUUGAAAGGAAAAUGAGUCAAAAAAUGUAGGUAUCAAGCUCGUAUAUUGGUUCUGACACCCGAUACAAGUCUUAUAAAUGCGUUAAGCGCUUUCUGUGAAGUUUGGUUGGAAACGGACAUCGUAUGAUGUGUUUCGGACUAUUAGUUCCAAAUUUGGAAGUUAUGAAGUUUAGAAGAAAAUCAUAUGUUUUGAGGCUUGAUUCUAUGUAAAUGAUGUAAUUUUGGCAAUUUGAUCACGCGAGCAAGUACGAAAGAUGUUUUUGAUGUUGUGUGUAUGUUUGGGUGGGAGCCCCGACGGCUCGGGUGAGUUUGGAUAGGCUUCGGAUUGCAUUUUCUCAUUUUUGAAAAUCUGGUAUGCUGGCUUCUGUGGUUUUUGCAAAUGUAAAUAUUUAAUCGCAAAUGCAAAGCUGGGGUUAUUUGCAUAGGAUCGUAAAUGCAAUCCACUUGAUCUCAAAUUUGAAGGGGAGGAAAAUGGGUUGGAGUUGCAAAUGUGAUGCCCUUGCUCGCAAAAGCGAGAUCUGCCCUGAUCGCAAAAGCAAACAAAAGUUCACAAAAGUGACCCCUGCCCCCCAAAACCAAGUUUGCAAAUGUGAAUUGAAUCUCCCAAAUCCCAAGCCUGCUUGAGAACCCAGCUUCGAAAUUGCUAUACCUGCACCUGCAUAUUUCAUACUUAGACGAUUUUAAAUCUCAUUUUUCAUAUUUCAAAAUACAAAAACCCAUUGGCGAUUUUUCACGAAAUAUUUCUUCUCCAAAUCAUUUGUAAGUACAACCUUUACUAAAUUUCUUCAAUCUUAAAAAUCAUUUAUCAUUAUUUCAUCUUAAAAAUCAAGAUUUUCCAGGGGUGAAAAUGGGGAUUUGGGGUAGAACCUAGGUUUUCUUAAAAUUAGGGAUUUGGACCUCAAUUUGAGGUAUGAUUUCAAAACAAAACAUAAUAUGAACUUGUGGGGUAAUUGGCAACCCAAUUUUUGUUUGAACCUUGGGAUUUGACCACGUGGGCCGGGGGAAAUUUGCGAUUUUUUGGGUAAUACUUUGGGAAACUCAUUAUUAUCCAUUCAAAUUAAUUUAACUAGAAUUUACUCAUAAAUUUGAGUAAUUUUUGACUAGAUUUGAACGGUUUUGUGGCAAAUUCAAGGGGUAAAGCUAUUCUAGAAGCGUGAGUAGAGUUUGGAGCUUUCGAGGUAAGUGUUUGUUCUAAGUUUGGCUUGAGGGAUUAGGAUUAGGAUAUUAUUUGCUACGUGUUAACUGCGGAGUACGGUGUAUAGGAAUGGUGACAAUUAUCUAUGCACCGGAGUCUAGCAUGACCGUGAGCCGUAAUUGCUUUUGAAUUAGAAAGAUGUGAUAAAAUAGAGUUGUUUAGUUGAUAAUUUAAUUAUGAAGUGGUAGUAGAGAAGAAAAUGAGAUAAAGGAGGAAGUGUAGCAUUUUUCCAUUGCCGGGACUUAUUUGUUGAUUUGUUCUCCCUUGCCGGGAUGUUUAAUCUUGUUGUUUAUUCCCUUCCCCGAUUGGUUGUGACUNNNNNNNNNNNNNNNNNNNNNNNNNNNNNNNNNNNNNNNNNNNNNNNNNNNNNNNNNNNNNNNNNNNNNNNNNNNNNNNNNNNNNNNNNNNNNNNNNNNNNNNNNNNNNNNNNNNNNNNNNNNNNNNNNNNNNNNNNNNNNNNNNNNNNNNNNNNNNNNNNNNNNNNNNNNNNNNNNNNNNNNNNNNNNNNNNNNNNNNNNNNNNNNNNNNNNNNNNNNNNNNNNNNNNNNNNNNNNNNNNNNNNNNNNNNNNNNNNNNNNNNNNNNNNNNNNNNNNNNNNNNNNNNNNNNNNNNNNNNNNNNNNNNNNNNNNNNNNNNNNNNNNNNNNNNNNNNNNNNNNNNNNNNNNNNNNNNNNNNNNNNNNNNNNNNNNNNNNNNNNNNNNNNNNNNNNNNNNNNNNNNNNNNNNNNNNNNNNNNNNNNNNNNNNNNNNNNNUAAUCUUGUUGUUUAUUCCCUUCUCCGAUUGGUUGUGACUGUUGAUAGGGUGAGGAAGAGCGAUUAUGCACGAAGGGUCAUUCUGUGCCAUGUAUUGAUAAUUAUGCACGAAGGGUCAUCGUGUGCCAUAUUUUUAAUAAUUGAGCACGAAGGGUCAUUUCGUGCUUUGAUAUGAGAGUUAUGUGAGGAAAAGCACGAAGGGUGAUGUCGUGCACUUUAUUCAAAUUUUUUGGUUAGAAUGAGAGUAAAAGCAUGAAGGUUGGUGCCGUGCAAUUGUUAAUUUACCUGUUCCCUUUAGUUGAUGUUAUUUGUCCAGUUGCAGCUCUUUGUUCGUUAAUCUUAUGUUUGAACACUCACACCCCACAGUAUGCCCCUCCCUAUUAACUUUUAAAAUUAUGUAUAUACUUCCUAUUAUUGAACAUAUAUCUGUACAAGUUAUUAGUGGUAGGUCCAGUGUAGCCUUGUCACUACCUCACCGAGGUUAGGCCAGGCACUUGCUAGAAUAUGGGGUAAGUUGUGCUGCUACUACACUCUGUGGAUUUCAUUUGCACAUAUCAGGAUGUAGCUUUCGGACAACAACAGUACAAGAUCAGGAGCGUACCUUCAGUCCAGGGACUCUUGAGGUAGCCUCGCUAACGUCCGCAGGCCUGGAGUCUUAUUUGUCAUAAUUCAGCUUGUUAGUUUUGUAUUGAAAGAGACUGUUAAGACGGUUGUAUUUAGAAAAUGUUAGAUGUUCGUGAAUACUGUGAUACCAGUAUUGGGUAGAGGAUUUGUUAAACUUUCGCAUUUUCUUUUAGUAAAGUAUAAUCGAGACUUCCGCUUAAUUGUUAAACGUUUUAAUGAUGUUAAUAUUGUUGAUGUUCGCUAAAGAAGUAUUUGAUAUUUGCCUUUCCUAGCUCCUAUUAGUAGGCGUCAUCGCAACUCCCGAUGGUGGGGAAUCCGGGUCGUGACAAGAUGCUAUCAGAGCACUAGGUUACUUAGGUCUCACAAAUCACGGUCAAACUAGGUGGAGUCUGAGGAUCGGUACAGAGACGUCUCUAUUUAUCCCCCAAAGCCAACAGAGUUAGGAAAAAUUUCACUUUGUUCAUUAUUCUUGUGCGAUUUUAAUUCUCAAAUAUUAAUAUUCAUUCUACUCUGAUCUUUCGUAGAUGGUGAGAACACGAGCUUCUUCUUUUACCGCGCAGCAUCCCAAGCCCCCAGUAGCAGCUCCUAUCAAGGUUAGAGGGCGAGGGCGAGGCCUAGGAAUAGUUCAACCCCGAGCAGCAGUCCCAGAGGUGGGCACUUAUGUUAACUAUGAUGAGGAGGUUCCAGCACAAGAAGCUCCAGUGGGCCCAGCUCAUGUCCUAGAGUUUCAUAUCAACUCCAGGAUGAUUUGGUCCGACUGGUAGGCUUUAUAGAGAGUGUCUCUGAGGCGGAUUUGCUUUCUGCAGCACCAACAACAUCUCAGGCUGGGGGAGGAGUUCAGACUCCUGCUACGCGCACUCUGGAGUAGGUAGCUCCUCAGCCUCAGGCUCCAGUAGUUCAGCCACCUGUAGUAGCCCAGCCGGGUAUUCCAGCUCAGACCGGUGAUGGUGCAGUGAUGUCCGUGGAUUCUUUGUCGAGGCUUGAUCGGUUCACCAAGCUCUUUACCACCACCUUGGGAGGGCUUACACAGUCAAUCAUUUGGGAGGAAUAAGUAAAGAAUCCGACCGCAAGAAGCCUAUCAUUGAAACUGGCGCAGACGGUCUUUGGAGAAAGAAGCAAGCAAGAGAGUAUUGUGUUGUUGAUCAUGUGAACAAAACCCCCACUCAGAUAUCCACUCAAUCACUACCAUAAUUCUGAGCGCAUAGGAAUGCAGUGACUGAAUUGUUGAACGAAUAUAUAUACCCAACAACAUCAGUAGCACUGAAAUUACCAACAUGGUAGGACAAGACUUGGUAAGCCACAAGAUCACUAUUCACAAAGACGAGUUGCCAUCAGAAGGUCGGAGUCACAACAGGUAACUACAUAUCACAGUGCAGUUUGAAGAUAAAUUUAUCGCUAGGGUCCUGAUAGAUGGGGGUUCGAGGCUCAACAUUUGUCCAUUGACUAUUUAAAGAGGUUGAGUAGAGAUAUGCAUGAGAUACGAGCAGGAACUAUGAGUGUGAAAGCAUUCAAUGGGUCCUAAAGGGCCAUUGUUGUUGGGAGGGCCAUGGAUAUUUGUUGCUAGGGCUAUAGCCUCUAUGCUACACCAGAAUGUGAAGUUUGAAUGGAAUGGUUAGAAAGUAAUCAUCCACGGGGAUAGAAAUAAUCCUAUUUAAACCAAUCAAAUUGUUCCGGUUGUCGAGAAUAGACAAAAGUUGGGUAGAGAAAUAUACCAUCACAUCAAGCGCGUCAAUGCAAUUGAGAAAGCAAAUUGGUGGAGUAAAAAAAUUGAAAAACAUAUUGUUAUGAAUAGAGUAUGAACCAGGCAAGAAUCUCGGCAAGAAUCUCAAUGGGAUCACCAAACUGAUACAGUUAAAGCGUCAUGACACAACUUUUCGGCUUGGUAUGAAUACACCUGGCACCAGUAUCAGAAUUGGUCGCCACCAUACCGUGGUCAUUACUACCCACCUGAGCAGCAAAUACUGCAUCUGCACCAGACAUUUCAACAGAUUGAUGUGAUGUGGGGAUCUAAAGAAGAUGAGGCUUUAGUUGGCCUGAUAAAUCUAUUUAUAGAUAAUGAAGAUAUGGAUUGCACUGCAAUAGUUGAGGAGGAGGAUGAGGAGAAAGACCUUACAAUUCAGACCGUAGGAAAAGGAGUUGUUCUAAAGAACUGGACUGUAACAUUGUCCUGGGCCCGUCGAGUUCCUAGGUAGCCUUGCAAUUAUUAUCUAUUUUUAAAAGCUAUUUUCAGCAUUUAAGACAUUCUCAGUAUUUCGUUUUAGAUGUAUUUUGUUUUGAAAUUAUUGCUCGAUUCAUCGAACCGUACUUGUUUUAAUAUUUUCAACAUUUCUCUAAUGCAUUGCUAUUUUAGCAUUUAUUAUUAUCCUUUACAUUUUCUCUAUACAGCAUUAUUUUUACUUAUCCCGGUGAACCAAUGACUGUGACAUGUAAUGAGACAAUGCAUCAUAAAGAUAGUGAUUCAGAGCAAAUAGAAGAAGAGGAUGUAAUACCUGAGGAAAGUUGCAGAGAGGUGGAAAACUUUGAGAACAAGCCUAAGUCCAAUUUUCAAAAUACAAAGAUAGUCAAUUUGGGAGAUUCUGAAAAAGUCAAAGAAACUCGUAUAUGCAUUCACCUGUCACCAUCAGAGAAAUAAGAGUACAUCUGUUUCCUGAAAGAAUAUAAAGAUAUCUUUGCAUGUUCAUAUGAUGAUAUGAUUGGUUUGAGCACAUCUAUAGUAGCUCAUAAACUACCUAUAAAUCCGAUAUGUCUACCUAUAAAGUAGAAGCUCAAAAAUUCCAAGCUGGAUAUAAGUCUGUAAAUGAAAGUGGAAGUCACCAAGCAGAUCAAAACUAAGGUCUUAGAGUGGUCGAAUAUCCUACAUGGUUGGAUAACAUCGUGCUAGUUCAAAAGAAGUUUGGGAAGGUCGGAGUAUAUGUCAACUAUCUAGAUUAAAACAGAGCAAGUCCCAAAGAUGAUUUCCUGUUACCCAACAUACACAUACUAAUCAAAAAUUAUGCCAAACAUGAACUCCAAUCCUUUGUGGAUUGCUUCGAGGGAUAUCAUCAAAUCUACAUGGAUGAAGAAGAUGCCGAGAAAAAAAACUUUAUUACAUAGUGGGGAGUGUAUUGCUAUAAAAUAAUGCCAUUUGGCCUAACGAAUGCUCGGGCCACUUAGCCAUGAAAACCAUUUUUCAUGACAUGAUACACAAGGUGAUAGAAUUAUAUAUGUAAGACAUCGUCAUCAAAUCCAAAAAUGGUACAGAUCAUAUAGCGUAUUUGAGAAAGUUCUUUAAUCAGCUUCAAAUGUAUAAUCUGAAAUUGAACCCUGAGAAAUGUGCUUUUGGUGUCCCUUCCGGAAAGAUAUUAGGAUUCAUCGUCAGCCGCUAAGGAAUAGAGCUAGACCCAUCAAAGGUUAAAGCUAUCCAAUAUUUGCCACCUCCGAAGAGCAAGAAAGAUUUGAUGAGUUUCUCAGGGUGUCUCAAUUACAUCAGAAAAUUCAUAGCAUAAUUGAUAGUGAUCUAUGAGCCAAUUUUCAAAUGUUAAAGAAGGAUGUCGCAACACGUUUGACUGAAGACUACCAGAAAGCUUUUGAUAAGAUCAAGGAAUCCACACUGCCAGUCCUGGUCCCCUCAGAACCUAGUAGACCUUUGCUACUCUAUCUUCUAUACUAGAUGGAGCUUUCAGUUGUAUCUUGGGACAGCACAGCGAGAUAUGAAGAAAGGAACAUGCCAUAUAUUAUCUGAGUAAGAAGUCAACACCCUAAGAAGCACAUUGUUCUUUGCUAUAAUGCACCUGUUGAGCGCUAAUGAGGAUAGCUCAGAAACUGAGGCACUAUUUCUAUUCAUAUACCACAUAUCUCAUAUCAAUGAUGCAUCCCUUGAAAUAUAUUUUCCGCCUACAGGGAAACUAACAAAAUCACAUACAAUGUUGAGUGAAUCUGAUAUUGUCCUUGUGACUUAGAAGGUUGUCAAGGGACAAUAAUUAGCAUAUCAUCUUGCAAAAAAUCUGGCAGGAGGAGAUUGCGAACCACUAAAAGUUGUUCCCGAUGAAGAAGUAGUAUUUGUAAUAUAAUAUCACCGAAACAUAUGAUGGUUGGAGAAUAUUCUUCAAUAGAGUUGCAAACAUAAAAGGAGAUUUUUUUGUUAGAGACAGAUCAAAUUAUCCGAUAUUCAUAAAACUUAUAUUUUAGUGCACCAACAAUAUGCCAAAUACGAGGCUUGCAUCUUGGCGCAUAAAUUGGCCAUUGACAUGAAUAUGCAGGAAUUGCUUGUAAUUGGUAACUCAGACCUUCUUGUACAUCAGGUUCUAGGAGAGUGGGCUACAAAGAAUACCAAAAUACUACCGUAUUGUUAUCACGUGCAAGAGUCGAUGAAAAGAUUCACAAAGACAUAAUUCAAACAUGUUCCAGAAAUCCAGAAUGAGUUCAACGAUGCGUUGAAAAAUUUAUCUUCCAUGAUACAACACCCAGACAAGAAUUUCAUUGACCAUGUUCCAAUAAGAAUCCAUAAUCAGUCAGCUUAUUGUGUUCAUGUUGAAGAAGAAACAUAUGUGAUUAUGUGGUUCCAUGAUAUCAAGGAAUACUUUCCAAAAGGAGAAUACUCGGAGCAUGCAAAUAAUAAUAAAAAAUAAACACUUUGAAGAUUAUCCAACUGUUUAUUCCAAAGUGGAGGAAUUCUGUUCAAAAAAACUCUAGACCUAGGAUUAUUAUGGUUAAUUGAUGCCGAGAAAGCUUCCAAACUGAUCAAGAAGAUACAUGCCGGAACAUGCAAACCACACAUAAACGGCUUCGUUCUAGCCAAGAAGAUAUUGAGGGCGGGAUAUUUGAUGAUUGUAGAAACAGAAUGCAUCAGGAAUGUCCAAAAGUGUCACCAGUGUCAAAUAUAGGCAGAUAUGAUACGGGUAACACGAAAUGAACUCAAUGCUACAAGUGCACCUCGGGCUUUUUCCGCUUGGAUAAUGGAUGUAAUCGGUCCGAUCUAGAUUGCCUCUUCAAACGGGCAUAGGUUCCUUUUUUGUGUCCAUAAACUACUUUAAAAAUGGGUUGAGGCUGCAUCUUACAACGCUCUAACCAAGAAAGUCCUCGCAUAUUUCAUCAGGUAUCAUAUUAUUUGUUGAUUCGUGGUACCAGAAUCCAUCAUCAGUGAUAAUACUGCCAACCUCAAUAAAGACUUAAUGAAAGCUAUGUGUGAAACGUUAGAAAUCAAGCAUUAUAAUUCCAUGGCAUACAUACCUCAAAUGAGUCGAGUUGUGGAGGCUACAAACAAGAAUAUCAAGAAAAUACUGAGAAAGAUGGUAGACAACCACAAGCAAUGACAUGAGAAAUUACCAUUUGACUUAUUGGUGUAUCAUAACACAAAGCGCAAAUCAACGAGAGCAACUCCAUACAUGUUGGUCUACAGUAUUGAAGUUGUUUUUCCCACCGAGGUCAAAAUUCCUUCCUUAAGAAUUAUACAAAAAGCUGAACUCAGAGAUGCGGAAUGGAUACAAAGUCGCUAUGAAGAAUUAGCUCUUAUUGAUGGAAAACGAAUGGAUGUGGUAUGCCAUUGUCAACUUAUCAAAAUAGAAUGUCAAGAUCUUUCAACAAAAGGGUCAGACCUAGACAGAUGACACCAGGGCAACUAGUGUUGUAGUGGAUCUUCCCGUAUCAAGAUGAAGCCAAAGGAAAAUUUUCGCCCAGUUGGUAACGCCCUACAUGGUUUACUGAUUACUAACAGGAGGAGCACUCAAACUUGCAAAAACGGAUGGACAAAUUUGGCCAAAACCCAUCAAUUUAGACGUAGUCAGAAGAUACUAUGUUUAGGAUUGUUCGCACAUUUUUAUCUAAUCUAACCUAACUACACUUGACCUGAUUACCGUUUAAGAGGGGAUAGGUUGGAAUCCCUGUAGGUUGGGUCACAUCUUAAUAAUAUCUUCAUUUCCCCCAUGGUCAGAAAUUAGGGUAGAAUUUUUCAGGAGGACCCUCAAAAUUUUGGAGCUAGUCCAACUAAUUUCAUCACAUGUGGAACAGUCAAAAUAAUAGCUUAUUAAAUUGGGGCAUAAUUUUGAGGAGGACACUCAAAAUUCUUGUGCAAAGAAGUCACAGUAUAAGUCACAGUCAUUGUUUCAUCUAAUUUACCUGAUAUUGCAUACUACUAUGUGUCGCGCCCCCUUUUUUCUCGCGAAGUCGAGUUUAUUACAUUUGGAAGGACAACUCAUUCCCUUUGGGAAUUAGGCUUGCAGUGGAAGAGUGUCCACCUAAUGAUUAGGCUGCAUUAGGAUACCAAAAGGAUUUGAUUUGAGUAAUCAAAGACAGGGCAAGGGCUUGAAAAUAUUCUAAUGGGAAGGUGUUAGACACCCCUCAGAAUCCACUAGUGUGGUUCCUGGCCAGACAAUUAUUCUGAAUUUAGGACCCGAUAUGAGCAGAUAAGGCUCAAAUAAGAGGGAAUUUUGGCAUAUAAUGGUUUGAAGUAAACAAAGUUUGAAAGAACAAUUAGAAAAGCUGUUUUUCAAAAGAAAGAGCUGAAAUGCUAAAAGAAAUAAAGAAUAAAGGGAGGGGGUUCCUAGGAUUAUUAAAAAUAUGGAUCAUCCCACACAAUGUUUUGUAAUCACUCCUCAGUGAGGGGCUACACAUGACAUUAUCGUGUGGUCAUCAUAUCCAUAUCUAUUCUUCCCACACCGUUAAGGUAUUUAAAGGGCGGAUUGGUGUCGAUUACUUAUUGCAUGCUAUUACCUCACCCAUACUUAUGAGUCCCCGAGGCAUUUAGGACUAUUAAUCCUAAAAGGGAUGGAUAUAAGGCUUAUUUGAGGUUGCAAAAUAUUUAAAACUCUAAGGCAUUAUGCAAAACACACAUUGCAUAUUAUGGGGAAAGAAUAUAACAAACAAAGGCUCAGGUAUACCUCCUUGAACAAAAUAGCAUAUAAUUAGCAUGACCUUCACAUACUGUUUAAGGUCUGAUAAAAAAAUUAAAGUUGAAGGAGUCCAAAUAUUAAGGAAGAUUGGUUUAUUUCAUAAAUUAGACAAGAAGUCUGAAUAAGGCCUGCCUCCUGGUUGUAAUAAUUAAAGAAACAGAUUCAAUUUAUAAUUAUUUCCCUAAGGCUUGCCUAAGGUUUCAAAUGAAAAUUCUAUAGGCAUGAUAUCUACUGGAUUCAGGAGGUAAUAAGACAUUAAAACUCAAAACGAUCAUUUUAAAUCCCAUAUGCAUACUUGUUAAACUAGUUAAGCGGGGGACUGAGAUUAUUAAAGAGAGGUUGAAUUUGAACGAAUCGAUUACAAGUUCUCCAACUGACACUAUUUAUUAUUACUGAUUUUAUAUCUAACAAUAACUGAAGUGAAUAAAAUUAAAUUAGAAACUCAUAUAGGCAUACUUUCUAUGCAUUACUAAUUUCAAACCUCAUAGACGUAGGGUCAUAAAGCAGAAAACCUUAUGACACGGUAUCUAAUUGCAGAAUUGUUUUGAAGCUUAUAUAUAUAGUAUCUGAAAUGUGAAACUUUGCUUAAAACCUUAUUGACAUAUAUAGGCAUAUUUUCUAUACGUAAUUGAAUAUACUGAAUUAGAACAACUUACAUGCAUGAUUUCUAUAUGUAUUGAGUAUGCAGAAUUAAAAUAGACCUAUAGGCAUAAUUUCUAUAUGUAUCGAGUAUUAGAGUAGACCAAUAGGCAUGAUUUCUUUAUGUAUUGAGUAUGGAGAAUUAGAAUAGACAUAUAGACAUGUUCGGGAUGUACCAAGCCACAAUCCCCAGUCAUAAACAAACCCUGCACCUACCAUGGGAUGCGAUUCACUCCCUAAUAUAGCGAACACAAUGUGAUAAACCAGGGUUUCAAACCCUCAAGCCAUCAUCUAUACAGACUACUCACCUCUAACCGGCCGUAGACUGGUCUGCAAUGCCUUUUCCUUUUUGUAUCGACCUUCUCGCGUGUCGAAUCUAGUCAAAAUCACAAUGAAUACAUAAAUAUAGGCUAAAGACACAUAACCUUGUAAGCACAUGAUUUUUGCCCUACAUGAAGAUAACUCCUAAAAAUAAACCAAAAAAAUAAUGUUUUAUGGAUUUUAGAAGUUUUUCUUUAUUCAGAUGCAUUUCAUGCAUUUUUAAUAUUUUAGAUUCACAAAAAAAUUACAAAAAAUGUCAUGUUUUAAUUUUAUGUCACCUUAGGUCCAAUUUUCAUAUAGGAAUUAAUUUCCGUAAGAAAAAUCAAAAAAAAAUUAUCAUCUUUAGCUUUUAAUCUUUAAAAUUAUUAUUUUUCUUUAGUUUUAAGUUAAUUAGUUUUUUUAAUGUCUACAAAAAUAAUUUAGGAUUUUAAUUAAUUAAAGAAAAGAAAAAGUAAAAAGUAAAGAAAGCAACAUAUUUUUGGUCUUGUUUCUUUUAAAAUUGGGUCAAUUUCUAGAAUAGCCCAACUAAAUUUUAAGACCCAAAUUUCAUCAAGUUCAUUACUCCAUCCUAAAACCUAGACUCAAAUCUAUAUAACAAUCCCUACAUCUACACACAAAAGGACCAUAACGCCAAGAGAGAAGAGCGGCAGCCAUUGUAGAUCAAAUAAUUCCACCGUCGCUCUGCUCUUUGUCAAUCUGCUCGACACCCUCACCCGUUAUUCUGCUUCCCCACAAUUCCAAAACCUUCAGCAACCGACGUCCACCAAAACCCCAUCGCCGGCGAACCAACCCACACCAUUCAUCUUCUCAUUUUUCAACCUUGAGCGAUUCACCCCAGCUCAUCAUCGCUACUGCUUCUUUCCGUUCCUCCACCCUCUACUGUCUUUGUAUCGUCGGAGUUGCAUCGUCGAUGAAGAACGAGUAGAAAACAGUCCAAUAUUUCAUCACCAUUGUUCCAGCGUGCUUUACUUCUAUGUCGGGUGGGUGUAGAUUUAACAGGCUCUGGAUUUUGUGACGUUUUUUGUGCUGAUUUUGGCCAGAAUCAAUUCUCGGCAUUCCUUCGCGCGUGUCGUUUGGCUGUAGUUCCAGUAUCGCUGUCGUUAUGGUAGCGUCAUUGGUCCCGGCGAGUGUCGAGGUUUGGAUCAUAGUUCUGUCGAGGUUUCUAUUUUGGUCCAGUGAUUAAUUUUGUUUUUUCUGCGUCAAGAUUCAAUGUAAGGUUCUUUUGCUUUGUUUUCAUUUUGGUUUUGUUCUGAUCAUAUGCUGUUGACUAUCCAUUUCGUUUUCUUCAGUAAAUUACGUGUGGUGCAUUUUUUUUUUUUUUCGUUUCUUCGUGUGUUUGUUCUGAUUUAUAUAAAUAGGCAUUAUUAUGUUCUUUAUUUCCAUUAAGUUACUUAUUGCACUGUAUUGAUUUCCAAUCUUGCGCGCAUUGUUUAAAUUUGUCACUUUGUUUAUAUUGAUUACUUCUUGUGUUUGCUCAUAUUUUAAUGCGUGCACUUGAUGUGUUACAAGCUGUAGAGGUUUGAAUUGUCCCAGCACUCUCCACAUAAGUCAUCCCCUUUUGAUUUAAUAUAACCAGAUAUUUUUGACAAUGCAUUCGCAAAAUCUUCAAAAAGAUUUAUUCUUACCAGAAUAUGUCGGUAUUCUAGCUGUCCAAUAUUGCAAUUACCUUUGACGUCGAAAUGUUUAGGUAAAAUCCGAUGCAGCUCCUGAAGUUCUGGUUUUCCAUAUGAAAAUUUAACAAUAAUUGCUUGGUGAAGACCUUCCUCCCUGGUGAAUGAAUUCACUUCAUCUACUGUGAUAGUUGUCCAAUGUUGCAAUUACCUUUGACGUCGAAAUGUUUAGGUAAAAUCCGAUGCAGCUCCUGAAGUUCUGGUUUUCCAUAUGAAAAUUUAACAAUAAUUGCUUGGUGAAGACCUUCCUCCCUGGUGAAUGAAUUCAAUUCAUCAACUGUGAAUUCAACAGUAGGAAUUCCUUGUUGAAUUGUAACAGGACAAAGUUCCAGAUUUGGAAUUUUUGUGACUGAAUUUUGUCCAGCGAGCAUCGAUGCAUAUCACUGUUUUUGUCCGCGAAUAGAUUGAUUUUCUAAAUAGAUAUGACCAACCUCUCCCACAGCCAGAUGCUGGGGAGAGGUCGUAGCAUCCAUAGUUACGAAGUGCUUCAAAAUUGUUUCAUCAUUUCCACUUCAAGCCGCUGCUAGUAGAAAUUGAAGAAACGACAAGUUACUAGCUUUGUCAAAUUCUUACGAUCUAAAGGAUUGUUGCUGCUCGAAUAAAGUUUGAACCCUUAUCUAACAGAUUAGAUCAAACCGUAAGCUUCACAUCAAAAUGAAUGAUCAAAUUUGGAAUUCGAAUGAACAGUAUGACAAAUCUAUAAUUCAUGAUCUGUUGCGUUUGGAUUAGGUUUUUGAAAUAAAAUCAAAGGAAAGGUCUUCUCCACAAGAAGGAGAUUGUCGUGACACCAAGAAUAGUACUGUACACCACCGAAUUCCGGCUAAAUGCCCGAUGAAUAGUGGAGGAAUCACUGUUCAUACACUACUCACGCGUCUUUGUCUAAAAAAACUAACAACACGUGUAUUUAACUAUCCGACCUAAAAAAAAAGUUUUUAAGUUUUAUGCAUGGAUACACUAUCAGUGUGUGUAGUUUUUUUUGGUUGUUUCUUCGUGUGUUUGUUCUGAUUUAUACAAAUAGCCAUUAUUAUGUUCGUUAUUUCCAUUAAGUUACUUAUUGUACUAUAUUGAUUUCCAAUCGUGUGCGCAUUGAUUAAAUUUGUCACUUUGUUUAUAUUGAUUACUUCUUGUAUUUGCUCAUAUUUGGAAAUUGGAAUGCUUCAGGAAUUUUUAUUCUUUACUAAAUUUAUUAUUUUGAAAGUGCCAAUCAAUCUUUAAAUGUACAUGCAAUACUAGUGUAUGAAAAUAAUUUAUGAACACCUCUAAUUUGUUUAAGCUGAUUAAAGCCCAUUGGAAUAAUUUGAGACGAGCCUUGCCAAAUAAAUACAAAUUGCGGGGCCCUCAAUAAUACAAUAACAAUAAUAACAACGACCCAGUAUAGUCCCAAAGAGUGGGGUCUGGGGAGGGACCCCUACCCGAAAGGGCAAAGAGGUUGUUUUCAAUCGACCCUCGGCUCAGUGAAGAAAAGGAAAAACAAAAACAAAAACAAAUUACCUAGAAUAUGGGAGGGCCGUUUAGCGAAUUUCGCGGCUUUCCCCAAAAUAAUAAUACAUUAUAAUCUUUAGACGCGCUUUAAUUAAAUUACUCUCAUAAGCUAGGGUGUGCAUCGAUGCAACCCAAAUCCAAAUCUCGACGAAAUCGAAAUGUGUUGACGACCACGGGUGCCUUGAUGGCGACGGGGUUCGGAACGCAUUUUCACGACAUCGUAUUUCUUGUAAAAUAAAUAAUUGUCAACAUGGUUCAAAAAUGGAGACGAGCCUCACCAAAAUAAAUAAAUGUGGGGCCCUCAGUAAUUGGUUAUUAAAAAUAAUCAGAAUUCGGAAGGGCCGUUUAGCGAAUUUCAAGGGCUUUUCCCAAACCAAUAUUACGUUAGAACCUUUAUGUGCGAUUUAAUUAAAUUAGCUUCUUAAACACAAGUGCACAUUAAUGCGACCUAAAUCCAAGUCUCGACGGAGUCGAAAUGUGUUGACGACCACGGGUGCCUUGACGGCGACAUAGUCAGAGACGCAUUUUUACGACGUCAUAAGUUUUUCAAAAUAAUAAUGGUAAAAGCGGUAUAUAAAUAAAAGGCAUAUAUGUUAGCAUACUUUAAAAUCAGGUUUUAAUCAAAUACAAUAAUUUAAGCGGCCUUGCUAGAACAACGCGUUCCGAGGGUGCCUAACACCUUCCCUCGGGUCAACAGAAUUUCUGGUUCGCACUCCAAUUGGGAAGACGAAAAUUUUCCUCGGUUCGGUCUUCAAUAAAAACACCGGUGACUUGGGACACCAAAAUCCAAACCUUUCCCAAGUGGCGACUCUGAACAAAUAAAUAAUCCCGAUCCGAAUAAUAUCACCUUAAAUGGAAAAACUACCUUAUACAUUAUCCUUUGGGGUAAGGUGUGUAAAAAAGGAGGUGUGACAAACUCCAUAAAAAAUACUCGAAAAGUAUUAAAAUUCACGAAGUUGGUAAAACUCGAACCCGGACCCACUUCCAAAAAAAUUCCAAAAAUCACAUCAACAGAUUUCUCGUCUUGCCACGAAUCCGUACAUAUAAAGUUCACCAAAAACAAAGUUCAAUUGGCCAUUCAAAUCCCCAAAAUUCACUUUCAAAAAUCAAACCCUAGUUCAUCACUAUUUCAACCCACUUUCAUGGAUUUGAGUGUUCAUUCUUAAACAAAAUGGUGUUUCUAAGUAAAAGACUUACCUCCAAUCAACACCUGUCAAAAACCCCCUUCAAAUCACUCAAAAAGCUCUCGUGGCGGAGUAAAAAAAGUGGUAAAAGUGUUGGGUUCGCAACUGAAGUGCCCUUAAAAUCAUUCUCUCCAGCUUAACAUCCCUUCAUUGCGAACACGAUGCCAUCUCGCGUCCGCGAUGGAAAAAAAAUGAACUAGGCCAAUUUCCUUCAUCGCGAACGCUUUCCAGUGACGCGAACGCGAAGCACAACUCGGGACCCCCAACAUUCCCUCUUCGCGAACGCGUGGAGCCAGGAGCGGACGCGGAGGCAAACAAGCCCCAACCUACGCGAACGCGGCCUCCUUUCGCGAACGCGAAAAACAAAAUUCUUGGCUUUCCAAUUCCUUCUACGCGUUCGUGACAUACCCCUGCGAACGCGAAGAACAAAGUUCCGUAACACCAACAGCGGAAAACCUGCUAUCCUCUAAGUCCAAGAAAUAGCCCGAUUGACCAUCCGAAAUUACACCGAGGCCCUCGGGACCUCAACCAAACGCAAAGAUAAGCUCUAAGACCUCAUUCAAACUUUCGCGAGCCAUAAAAUCACUAUCGUAAACAUCAAAAUCAUAGAAUUACCACGGAUUCAAGCCUAAGUUAAACUAAAACUUUCGAAUCUUGCAUUUGAUCUAAAAUGCGACCAAAACAUCUCCGAAUGACCUGAAACUUUGCACGCUUAUCCAAAAUCACCUAAAGGAGCUACUACUACUGUCGGAAUUCAAUUCUUACCCCCAGAUCAAAAUCUUACCUAUCAAUCGGAAUUCACCAAAAUUCAAACUUAACCUAUUCAAGCCUAAUUCUACACCGGCCCUCCAAAUUCAAUUCCGAUUGCACUUCUAACUCACAAAUCAUCACCCGAAACUAGCAUAAUCAUCUAAAAUCCAUUCCGCGCCCUCUAACUCAUAGGAAAACAUUCGGUUGACUUUUCCAAACUAACCUUCUCAUAAAGAGACUAAUUGUCUCAUUUCUAACCGAACUCUAUCCGAAUUACUUCAAAUUCUCCAAACAUGUAUAAUGAAACAUAUAUAAGCAUAAACCGGGGAAAACGGGGCGGUAAUUAACGUGACAACAGUUUGGGUCGUUACAUCCUCCCUAAGUUAAACAAACGCUCGUCAUCGAGCAGGCCCAGACUUGUAGUAGGAGCCAACCAAUACUUGAAUGCACUUACCAAAAUAUACCAGGGGUGAUCCCACGUCACCCUAACUCCUCUACGCCUCGUAAUACAACACAACUAAAAUUUCACGGUUCAUCAAGACCAUAACCGUAGAAUCACAUUGCACUUUUGAAGCCAUACACAAGAUCAGAACCUCACAUUUAUACUUAGAAUAAGCCCAAACCAGCUGUAAUAAUCCAUAUCUGCAACCUCUGUUGAACCCCUGCAACAAACCACACAAUCCAACACUCGAAAACGAUAGUCUUUAUUCAUAAUAAUUACCCAAAAUACUCAAUUAUUGUUAGGAACCUCUCAUUAGCUAAGGUCUUGUUCCAGCACUUUCAUAUACUACCUUUGAUGAUGAAACACACAAUAAAUUUUGUGAAAAUUUCUCGGACCAAUCAUUUAUGAAGUCACUCCCAAUUUAGCUACUAUCACAAUAGAUUUUCGAGCCGCACCUCGAUACUAACAUAUUAACAAGUUGAAACCAAAUCCGUUUGUAUCCAUUAAUGACUCAAAUGAUCCCCCUUAAAUCUGACAUACCACUCUGGUGAUAUGACACCUUAAUACCGGCCUAAGCCACGACUUGCAUAAUACCCGCACCAUUAAGGAGCGACUUGAAUAUACUCAAAUCAUGAAAAUGACUCAAACGAAGGAGCUGUACCCCAAGCUCCUCAAUACCAUUACAACACGAAGCUGAGACCCCGUCUAACAUCAUAGAAAUAGAGUACAUGAAUCCACAUCGAUGGUUAUAACUCGACGUGGCCUCGCCUUAACGCGCGAUCCUAUCCAAACACCAUUUCACCUGAUGUUCCUCGGGUCAGCAUGCUCAAAAUAAACAUCCACGAACAUAUUAAUGUCUGAAACCAAGAAAUCCAUCACACCCACGGUGAAGAAAGUUAUAUACGCCAUUCAAUCCUAAAAGGACACAACCAAUGCGCUAUUCACCGAGCAACUCUCAAUACGGACUUCCACGAAAGCAAGUCAUACCAUAUAACAUAUGGAAACUAUCCUCAAGAUCACACUAUUACGACGCGCAACCCGAUCCACAUGACAUUCCCUAUGGCAGCAUGACACCUGAUCCACUAAAAUAUCUCACCUAGGGAGAUGCACAUGGAGCCGAAUUUUCUCAUUAUAACAAAUUACCGAGUAACGGUCGUAAGCACACUGAGUGCAUACUCAUAUCUACUUGUAGCGUUGUAAGAUACAAAACCCAGCUUCUACUAUGAAUCUCGAUAGCACCAAAAUAGAUGUGCCACUUCCCAAAAUCAUAACGUCUCGUACUACGUAAAGAAACUCAUAUCUCUUCCUAGAACACUAGUAGGUCCAAUAACAAUCGAAACAACCCAUCUUUUAUUAAUACUAUUCAGAGCUAACCGAGCCAACUCAAGCUAAACACGUAUUCAAUCAGCUUACCAACAAACUCAUUAGCAAGAAGCCUGAAGCUACCUCUUCCACUACUAUAACUCAUGCCAAAGUCGUACGAUACGGUGCUCGACACCAACUAAAUACUGAAGUCCACAAUCUCGCCCGGCAACAUGCCUGGCCACGAGGAACGCGUCCAAAAAGGCCCCUCAAUACCAAAACUGAAUCAAUGGAAAAAACCUCUGCACUGACAUUUGCCAUGAAGGCCCAAACAAGACAAGCAAUCCUUCUCAGCCGUCCGCUGGUAUUUUGAAUGCAACCCACUCUUGCUAUGACAUCACUAGAUGCACCUCGCCGCACAACCUGUGGCAUCUUCUGGCAUAGCCCAUAACACAAUCUUUUAGAUUAACCCAACUUUUAGGCAACCAGUCUAUACCCAAUAUCACAUCCAAAAUUUAUCGUAUCAACAAAUAAAAAUCCACUGUAACCUCAAAAUCCUAAUUGCCAAUAAAUGGUGCCAAAUACUUACUAUCCACAACCGCGGCAUAGACUGUAUCAGAGAACUCCUAGUUUCAAACUCCAUAUAUCACACAAAUUAUAAUACCCGGUCCCAUAGUCCACUGUAUGAAUACAUAUUACAUAUCAAGUACCGAUUCAUUCCACGAAAGAUAUUCUACAAUUUCCCUGUGCCAUCAGCAAACUCAAAUAUCAACAGUUGGUCCAACAGGAAACUACUAACAUCCCGCCGAAGUGUUAUCAACUUAAUCACAUUGCCCUUCUUCUCAAACAUAUACCCUCAUCAAAUCACAAUGAUUAGCAUCACCAUUUACUUGGUCAUAUGAGGACCAUCAACCCUAAUCAUCUGAAGGUCGAUUCUUACAUAACCUGCAUCAGCCCGUGCUACUUAAGAAUUUAAUGACUUUCCAUUCUGAACCGAACCGUGCCUCACACACACAAAUCCCAAUCCUCCACAAUAUAUCACAUCUACCAUACCACACUCGGAUUACCUAUGGAAUUUUAUCUCCCUUCCGCUCCGCAGACAUCGACACACUCAAUUAGUCGAGAACUUUCAGUGAUCCCAUUUAGAAGGAAAAUCCUUACACCCUUCACGCUUCGCAUACCCACAAGAAAUAUACUCAUCUUUAAACCACGAUAAAACUCAAGAUGAAAAUCUAUGCGAUCUGUAUUUGUACAAGCUAAGCUUCCAGGACUGAAUCCUUCUAUCUAACCCAAGCUGAGCAAGCCGUAAAAACCCAAGAGCAUUGCUUCAAAAUGCCUGAAUAAGGUCAUUAUCUCGAUCACAUACACAGAAUUAAUCAUACCCUUACCAUAUCGAUUCGGCCAAUUAUCAAGUUGUUAUGUCUAUCAAAUUUCUCUUUAUUUUUAUUCAUCAUCCACUUGGUAUUUCUCCCUCGCUAUAGCACCACUUUGCCUUAAUCCAGGAUCACCACAGGAGCUUCGUACAUAAGACCACAUUUUCAAAGACCCAUAGUCCAAAGAAAUGUUGUCUCAGACUUUCCCAAAAAUACCAUGUUCUAGAAUGCAUUACUUUGAAGAACUUCCUACGAAAUCCGAAUUUGUUACUAUUACCUUCCAGAUACCGAUAUAUAGAAUCCCAUAAUCGACAUAAGAAUACCACAAGACUCAACAUUUUCCAAUAAAAAUACGGUCUCUGACCACCACACACCUUGGAGACACCCGAUCAUUACAUGCCAAAUCUCGUACACAAUAACACCGUUCUCGAGAGUCAUUCACUCUUAACUAUAAAUUAUCAAACUUACCGAACAUGACUACUCGUGCCUUAUUAGCAUUCUGACCCCACAUAACAUAAUCUUUUCCAAUACCAACACCUUCUUCCCUUUCUAUACACUGAGCAUUGUUUAUCAACACAACUCAAGAUAUCCUAGUAUUUUCUCACAUCUUUGAAGCACCAUGUAACCUUUAUCGAAAUUAUGCUCCCCUCGCGCCAUCCUCGGCUCAUUUUCUGCAACCAGGACUGCUUCGUCAGCAUACUUCGAAACGGAAAUAACAUAGUACAUAACCAUGUGAUCACCUAAUCAACGGCAAUCUCCCCAACUUGGCUCGAAGCCAUCUUAUCAUGACACACUUAAUAACCCAUAAUACUCUUACUCUAAUAAUGCCACGAUAUUAUUGUGAGAUUAAACUCGAAUAACUACUAGUUUAUGAAAACACAGAUCCUCGGAUAGUGAAAUCCUAUACAAACCACGCAUUCCUCCCCACAUCAGUUCAGUCCACACUCUCAGAAGCGACUCAAAUUUGCAAAUUACAACACGCACCUUUCAAUUUCACAUGAGAUCCUCUCAUACCAUACAUAUGAAUUGCAUCACUUCAGAGCACCCCACAGGAGAUAACCUACCUAUUUCGCCUUAAUAUAAUAUUUCUUUAUACCUUCCAUCAUCAUACACAUUACAUAGCUACUUAGUCUUUUUUAGUCUGAACUCAUAUCUUAUCAUGCAAUUUACUUCACUCCCACUAUGAGACUUGAAAUGAUUCUUCAUGCGCUUGUAUUUGGGCUACACCUCGAACAAUAAUAGGAAACGAAACACUUAAAAAAGCAUCCAAUAUCACGCAGACUUCUUCGUCAUCACCAAGACAUAUAAUUGCAUCUCGCAGAACUAAAAUACUCAUCACACAAAUACCAAACUGCUACUCCGGAUAAAAGCAAAAAUACUGAACAUAUACAUUAAAACACUUUGUCACACGAUCAUUACCUCAGUGCUCAAGCCAUAAGCAAGAUCCGGCCUCAAGUCCUCUAGGCUAGACUUGCCCAACAUCAACCUCACAAAGAUUACAUCUCGCCCUUCGAUCAUGGAAUCGCAAGGCAUCAAGGCACAUAUAAUACAGAGCGAUCAUGCGUGCAUACAAAACAUGAGGAAGAAAUUUCAAGGGUUAUAUUCCAAGCUGAAUCAAGUAUGCACGAUAAGAGUUCCAAGAAAGUGAAGUUUUUCCUAAAGGUUCUGCAGCCUACCGAGGAUAAGUACUGACGUCUCCGUACCGAUCCAAAAGACACUACUAACCGGCUCAUGACUCGCGAGACCAAGUAACCUAGGCUCUGAUACCAACUUGUCACGACCCAAUCCCGGUUGUGACGGUGCCUAACCCUAAAGCUAGGCAAGCCUGACCAAUAAUCGCUGUCAAUUCGACAAUAAGUCUCAAAAUCGACAAUUUAAUGAUAAUGUAAUAUUUAUAAAAUAGAAAUCCAAUAUUUAUAGAAAAAUAAUACGGAGAGAUACGAAAUCUGAUAAAACACUCCAAUAAGAUCUGGGGUCACGAGUCUAGAGCCUCUAUAACAUAGGGUGUGCAUUCGAAUUAGUUUAUCGAUAAAUCUAAUCGAUUAUUUAUUAUCGAUUUAACGAUAAAUCUAAUCGAAAAAACUGAAAUCUUAUUGAAACGAUAACAAUAAGCAUUUUUACAAAGCAAUAAUCGAUAAGGGUCAAAUUCGAAUCGAUAAAUCGAAUGCACGCCCCUAAUUAUUUCAUCCACCACAUUUAAGAAAUGAUCAUAUUCAAAGGUCAAGGGAAUGAUCUUCAAAUUAAUGGAAAAUAGAAUUAGUAGUAAUAAUGUAUUCUUUUUAAUACCGUUGAAGUAUUGGUGACAUACAUUUGAUCCCUCACUUUAGUUUCAUUGCAUGUGCUUGUUGACACAAUUUUGAUGUUAUAAAUGGUGUCCGUCUUAUUUUAGUUUAUUUUUCUCCAUAUUAGUUAGGCGUAUUUAUAACGAUAUACUUUCCGUGAAAUCCCGUAAAGUUUCUUAUUGGUGUAAUCGAUAACCGAAUCGAUAAGCCCAAAAUAUCAAUAAAUCAAAAUCGAAAAAAUAGAAACCUCAUUGAAACGAUAAUGAUAAGCAUAUGUAUAAAUCGAUAAUCGAUAAGUAAUUAUCGAUAAGGGUCAAAAUAGAUUCGAUAAAUCGAAUGCAUACCCCUACUAUAACAAACUAGAUAACAAUAUUUGAAUGAGAAUACAAAAGUCUGGAUAUAUAUAUAUUUAGUCUAUACAAUGCAAGAAUGCAAUGCAAUAUACAUGACCCACUGUUGCAUACAGCCCAAUCCAUUUAAUAUCGACGACGCUCACUUGGGGUGUGUACAGACUCAGAAGGGGCUCCUACAGCAUAAGCGCAAUAUCAGCCAGGUAUUGGCAUAAAAUAGGCUCUCGGCCUCCAUAUCAAUAUAUAAAAAUUGCUACGGCAUGUAGCUCGAUCUAUGCUCAGUCCAUAGCAUGCAAAUGUGUCACAUAAUAGAUUCAAUUAAAUUCUCAUUUUCCAAUUAUUAAGGAAAUAUAAUUUAGUUAUUUAACUUCACGAAACGUGACUUAGCAUUUAUAAUAGUGAUUAAUCAUUUGACUGAGAUCAAUCAUUAUACAAAUCAUGCUUGCACAACGAUAUCCAUCCUAUGAGGAUGUUACAGAUCGGCACAAGGCCCCACACAUGACAAUAAGCCUAGAUAUAUUCAAUACAUGGUGUGUAUCACUCGCCAAUAUAGUAAAAUUCUUGUUCGGGAUGGACCAAGCCACAAUCCCAAGUCAUAAACAAACCCUGCACCUGCCAUGGGGUGCGAGUCACGCCCUAAUAUAGCAUUAAAAUGUGAUAAAUCAAGGUUUCAAACCGUCAGUCCAUCAUCUAUGCAGACCACUCACCUCUAAUCGGCUAUAGACUGGUUCGCAAUGCCUUUUCCUUUUGUAUCGACCUCCUCGCACGUCGAAUCUAGUAAAAAUCACAAUGAAUACAUAAAUAAGGGACAAAGAAACAUAACCAAAUCAAAAUUACUCAAAAAGUUCUAAAAUUCACGAAGUUGGUAAAACUAAAGCCCCGGGACCACUUCUCGAAAAAUUCCAAUAAUCACAUCAACGGUUUUCUCGUCUCUCCACAAGUCUGUACACAUAAAAUUCACCAAAAACAGAGUUUAAAUGGCCUUUCAAAUCCCAAAAUUUGUUUUCAAAAAUCAAACCCUAGUUCUUCACAAUUUCAACCAAUUUUCAUAGAUUUGAGUGUCGAUUCUUCAAUAAAAUGGUGUUUCUAGGUUAAGAGACUCACCUCCAAUCAAUACCCAUGGAAAGCCCUCUUCAAAUCGGUCAAAACGCUCUCUUGGCGAAGUAAAAAUGGUGGAAAAAGUGUUGGGUUCGCGACUGAAAUGCCCUAAAAAACAUUAUGUCCAGCUGAACACCCCUUCAUCGCGAUCGCUAUGCCAUCUCGCAUCCGCGAUGGCAAAAAAAGGAACUAGGCCAAUUUCCUUCAUCAAGAAUGCGUGCCAGGGAUGCGAACGCGAAGCACAACUUAGGACCCCCCAGUAUUCCCUCUUCGCGAAUGCCUGGAGCCAGACGGGAACGCAGAGGCAAACGGGCCCCAACCUACGCGAACGCGGCCUCCCUUCGCUAAUGCGAAAGACAAAAUUCAUUGCUUUCCAAUUCCUUCUACGCAUUCGCAACAUACCCCUUUGGACGCGAAGCACAAAGUUCUGCAACACCACAACAGAAAACCCGCAAUCCUCUAAGUCCAAAAAUAGCCCGAUUGACCAUCCAAAAUUAUCACGAGGCCCUCGGGACGUCAACCAAAAGCAUAUGCUAUAAUACGUCAUUCAAACUUGCUCGAGCCAUAAAAUCACUAUCGUAAACAUCAAAAUCAUCGAAAUACCAUAGAUUCAAUCCUAAGUUAAACUCAAACUUUCGAAACUUGCAUUUGAUGUAAAACCCGAUCUAAACACCUCCGAAUGAUCUCAAACUUUGCACACAUAUCUAAAAUCACCUAAUGGAGCUGCUACAAUUAUCAGAAUUCCAUUCCGACCCCAGAUCAAAAUCUCACCUAUCAACCAGAAUUCGCCAAAAUUCAAACUUCUCCAAUUCAAGCUUAAUUCUACACCGGACCUCCAAAGUUUCGAUUGCACUCCUAAGUCACAAAUCAUUACCUGACACUAGACGAAUCAUCGAAAAUCCAUUCCGAGACCUCUUACUCAUAAGUCAACAUUCAGUUGACUUUUUCAAACUAACCUUAUGAAAAAUACACUAAUUUUCUCAUUUGUAACUGAACUAUAUCCGAAUUACUUCAAAUUCUGCAAACACAUAUAAUAAAAUAUAUAGAAUAAUAAAAUGGAGAAUAUGGGACGGUAAUUCACGUGAUGACGGGUGAGGUGGUUACAGUAAAUAAAGGUGGCGAUCUUUCAUCCAUGCAGUUGGAGGUAAGGCUUAACCUCGAAAGGCAGAAUGGUAGUCGUAUGCAAUGCAACAAUGCAAAUGAAAGUAGAGCUUAACCUCAAAAUGAAGAAUGGCAGCCUUAUGCAAUGAAAGAAUGCAGAUAGAGGUAGAGCUUAACCUCGGAAGGCAGGAUGGUGGCCUUAUGAAAUGCAACAAUGUAGAUGGAGGUAGAGCUUAACCUCGGAAGGCAGGAUAGUAGACUUAUGCAAUGAUUGAAUCAAGAUAGAGGUAGAGCUUAACCUCGGAAGGCGAAAUGGUAACCUUAUAUAAUGCAAGAAUACAGAUGGCGGUAGAGCUUAAACUCAGAAAGCAGGAUGGUAGCCUUAUGCAAAGGAAAAUGCAGAUGGAGACAAUUUUAAUCUCGGAAAGAAGAAUGGUAGCCAUAUACACGAAAUAAAAGGCAUAUGGUAAUAGAGUUUUCUUAGCUGAUAGCUGAUUGCGAUAUUGUGGCUACUGGGGACAUUGUGCCUACUGGGGACACUACGUGCGGAUAGCAACUAUGUGUAAGUGAAAUGGUUUUGAGAAUUGAGUCCCAUGAGUGUAUAGUAUAUUUGAUGAUUUUGCAACUCAAGUGCCUACAUCCAAACAAAAAUCAUAAUUUUUGUAGAAGGGGGAGGUUAGUUCAUACUCUCGAUGGCUCUACUUGACCUGCCUGGCUUCUUUUUUUCGAUACCGUACGAAUCAUUGGGGUAGCAUUUGCUAGACAAGGAAGUUUUUGUAAUAAAAAUGCAUGAUUUUGUUGAAAUAUGAUAUGAAUAGAUAAUUCAGAAUAUUUUUCUUUAGAUGAACCGACAACUGCGGCAUGGUUCAAGACAUUGUGACCUUUUUUGCCACAAAAUUUUAGGGUCCUCCUCAAAAUUCAUACCCAUUUUACUGGGUUGAUGCUUCUGACUGUUGGUAGUGAUAACUGGCUGAAUAUCAACUUUGCAAUUUUGAGGGUCCUCCUCAAAAUUCUUCCCAGUUUCCAAUUGUGGGAGGGGGGUGGGGGUGGAGANNNNNNNNNNNNNNNNNNNNNNNNNNNNNNNNNNNNNNNNNNNNNNNNNNNNNNNNNNNNNNNNNNNNNNNNNNNNNNNNNNNNNNNNNNNNNNNNNNNNNNNNNNNNNNNNNNNNNNNNNNNNNNNNNNNNNNNNNNNNNNNNNNNNNNNNNNNNNNNNNNNNNNNNNNNNNNNNNNNNNNNNNNNNNNNNNNNNNNNNNNNNNNNNNNNNNNNNNNNNNNNNNNNNNNNNNNNNNNNNNNNNNNNNNNNNNNNNNNNNNNNNNNNNNNNNNNNNNNNNNNNNNNNNNNNNNNNNNNNNNNNNNNNNNNNNNNNNNNNNNNNNNNNNNNNNNNNNNNNNNNNNNNNNNNNNNNNNNNNNNNNNNNNNNNNNNNNNNNNNNGGGGGUGGAGAGGGGGAAUGAAUUUUUUGUUGAAUUGUGACCAAUCGCAUAGGGCUACCUAUGUAUCCCUGUAAGACCCCGUGAAAAUGAGUGCUAAAAGCAUAGCAACUCAUAGGGUCAGGUCCACCUAUGUGUUGGGAUGCUUUCUACUGAUUUUAUUCUUAAAAAUCUAGAGUCAAAGUUUUCCGGAAAAAUGUCAUUUCUGUGGUCAAGAAUGGGGUCGCAGAUCUGGUGUGGCGACCACAUCUCAGCUGCAGAGUUAAUCAGAGAGUUGGCUAACUUUUAUGUUUAACAUACGGUCCAUUGUGCGAUCGCAUAUCCAAUAUGUGGACCGCAUAGUUGUCACAUAAAUUUCUCGAAGAUUUGUGAAGACCAGUUCUUAGGUGCAAUAUGCGACCACAGAACAGGAAUGCGGAUAGCACUCCCACCGCAUACCCAAGCAGAGCGGCCAGUGAUUUUGGAUUCUUCUGCGGUCCAAUCAGCGGACCGCAUAUCAACUCUGUUAUCGCACAGUACGACCGCAUAUCCUACACGCGCUUCAAUUUUCAAAAAUUUUAAACCCGAGCCCUUUUCUAAUAAAACACCCUAACCCCUAAUUUUUGCUUAUUUUCUGAACAAAACAACAGAGAGAGAAGAGAGCGUUCUUGAGAGAGAAAGGGUUCUUCAUCAAAUUGAUUCUCCAUAACUACAGGGACGGGAAAUUCUAAUUUACUAUCUUAAUCCCCACUCUUACAGGUAAAAUCCCUAACCUUUUUCCCUAAUUUUCAAAUUUGAACUUAGGGAGGGAGUCUCAAGCUUUGAUUUUUUAAAUAAUGGUUGGAAAGUCACAUGCAUGUCUUUCAAAUCAAAAAAUCUAUAAGGGAAAUUGGGUAGAAGUAAAGAACUGUGCUUGAUAACCUAGAUAAGCCAAGUAGUAAUUGUGAACAUCAAUUCUAAGGUAGAUGUGUUAAUUUGUGAAUUAGAUUGACGUGGCUAGAUUUCAUGGUGACUAAGAGUAGGAGUUUAAAAAGGGAAUUCGACUCAAGGUAUGUAUGCAUAACCUUGAUGCUUGUGAAAUCGCCUUGUUUGGUGUGUGAAUUGAUUUUAAUUUGAUAUCUUUGGGGGUUAUUUGUGAGCUUAUUGUGACUUGUAUGAGUUUGAAUGAAUCUAGUGGUAAAAGUCGAGGAAAAAUGAUUUAAGGAAUCAUAGAUUGUGAAAUCAGAACAACUGUGGCAACCAUGUACUUGAAUUGUUUUUGGCAUUUGUUGUGGUGACGUGAAGUGCAUAUAGACUAUUGAAUAUGAUGGAAUUGGUACUGUUGGUUAUGGAAACACUUGUAACAUUGUUGUGGUUAUGUAUUGAUAAGUAUUUUUGUUAUCUUUGUGAAUUGAUUGUUGUGGUUGUGUUGUUCAUGAAUUGAAACUGAAAGGCGGGGUCGGGUAGCGUGCCGUAACACGAAGUUAUAAGGUGUGGGUUAUGGUGAUAAGGAUGGCCGAGGUAAUAAGGGUGGUCGAGAUAAUAUGGGUGGAAAAGUGAUCGAAAUGAUUGUUGAAAUAAAUACUUGUGUAAACUUGUGAAACCAAUAUUGUGGAAAUUGUGGAAAGGGGAAAAACAGGAGAGUGUGCAAACUUGUUUGGCUUGAUUGUACUUUUCAUGUGUAUGUGAAUUGAAAUUGUACAGCAGAGUCGAGUUACGCGUCGCAACACGAAGUUAUAAGGUGUUGGUAGUGGUGAUAAGGGUGGCCGAGGUAAUAAGGGUGGAAAAGUGAACGAAAUCAUUGUUGAAAUAAAGACUUGAGUAAACUUGUGAAAUCACUAUUGUGGAACUGUGGAAAAUGGAAAAUAGGAGAGCGUGCAUACUUGUUUGGCUUGAUUGUACAUUUCAUGUGUGUUUGGUUGUUGCUUCUAUUAAUUUUUCUACUUGUGUACGGCUUGACUUUACUCGGGACAAGGUUUUUUGAUACAUAACAGUACAAUUCAAAUGUGCUGACGUCCAUUUUGCCAUGGGCGCUAUAUUCGUGCUAUGAUUGUAGGUGGAUCUAUAGCAGGUACUCCAGUCCACCAUCUGUAGCUCUUUCUCAUUCCCUAUCAGCUGUAUUGGUGAGCCCUUUUCUUCCGGGUCCCUGCGUGGCUCAUGCCGCCUCUGUUCUUGCAUUUUGAGAUCUUAUUUUGGUAUGUGUAAAAAGUAUAGUCGGAGCCUUUUUACCGGAAAGUAUUGUAUUAUCUUCUUCUAUCUCUAGAGGCUCCGUAGACAGGAAAUGUGGGUCAUGAGCUAUGUAGUAUGUACUUUGUAUUUUGGGCAAUGUAAAUUGUAAACCACGCUAUGUCAUCUAUAUUAUGUAUGCUUUGUAAAAGGUGUUUCAAUUAUAAAUUGCACGUUCCACUCGGUUAGUAAGAAAUGGUAAUAUGGGGUAACUCAUGGGUUAGGAAAGGUACUCAGGUCCGCUCGACCGGGGAUACCCGGUCAAGUGCCUAUUGAUACCCAAUUUUCCCUAUAUAUUUUUUGCAUCAAAAAUGCUUUCCAAAUAGUAUAUGUAUGCAUAUAUAAGCAUUCCUAGGAAUUUUGGAAUUUUCCUUAAUUUUUUAAAGAUUUUUAAAAUCAAUUCAAUGAUUAUUUUGGACAAUAUAAAGGCCAAAAUUAUUUCUAAAUUAUUAUUUUUUAGUUGCACAAUGUGUUUCAUUCUAAUAUUUACAACAAGACAUAAUUAAUGUAAUUUUUGCACAUUUUUUACAAAUUUAUUUGGAUUUUUAAAUGCUAAUUGCACAAAACUACAGGCCUGUUUUGCAAUAUGCUAUGUUUUGCCGCUAUAAAAUUAUUUCUAAUAUUAUUAGAUUAAUAUUUAUAUGUUAUUAAGUAGUUAUAUGCUUACACUAUUUUGGCUAUUUUAUAAAAUUAAUUGGGAAAAGAGGCUAUUUAAAUUAUAUCCGGAUUUUAUUUAAAACAUGACCCAAAUUCAACCCCCCCCCCCAGGUCAGCCUAAUUAAACGACCUAAUUUUCCAAAUAACCCGACCCAUGACCAUUUAAACUAACCCGCCCAGAGCCCUCUUUAAUUCGUGGUCGUUGAUCAUUUAAAUCAACGAUCCAUAAUAGCCCUUACUUUUUUCAACCAGAGACCACCUCCUAACCCUAAUCGUUUUUCACCUUCAGUCGCCCUUGUAUUCCCCUCCUCUCUCAAACGUUCAUAACUCCUCUCUGAAACUCUAGCCCUCUCAACCGUUCCCCGACCUCUUUCUACCAUAAAUCAUGGCCUUUCAGGCCCUGUGUAACCUAUAUCUACCCCCACUCGCCCUUAUCCUCAUCUUGCGUGAGGAUUCGAGGCCAGAACUUGAAUUUCUCCAGUUCAGAAGACCUCUGAUUCGAGUUUAUGGCCCUUUCCAAUUCAUCUUCGGCGAGUUCUAGCCCUGCGAGUCAAUCUCUAACUCAAGACUAGCCCGUUCCCAGCCUUCUCAUUUUCUAGGGUUUUCUCCGAAACCCUAAGCCUCGAGGUUUUCCUGUUUGUCUCUAAUAUCUACUGUCGAUCCGUGCUAUUUUGUACGAUUUUUAAGUGUUUCUCACAUCUUUUUCGAUUUUUUCUUUCAAAACUGUUCAUCUUCUUAAAACAUAGGGUUUCCAUGAUUUUUACUUGUUCUACUGUGAUUUCUUACAUUAUUUGGCUUUUUUUGUAAACCCUAAUUGUUUUGACUAUGAUUUCUAGGUAUUUUGUUUACUAUAUUGUCUUCUAGGGUUUUGAGUAAAUUCUCUACUGUUCCUUCUUUCAUUAUGCUUGCAUGAAUGUUUGUGUUCUUUUGACGUUCUGAUUAUAUUCUUUGCUUGAUUCUCUAUGGUUUCAUCUAUGAGGAAGAAACCCUAGAUUUUGGGGGGUUUCAGACUACUUGUGCGCGAGUAUUUUUCUUCCUGUUUAAUUUUAAAAGCCUAAUCCUCUAAAACUCGGCUCAUGUUUCUAAUCCUUGCUAAGCUUUACAAGACCUCUUGAUUUCUCGCACAUCUAUGUUCUUCUACUUUGCAUCACUAAUCUUCUUAUUUUUUAACCUCGCAUGUUUAAGUUUAUGCUCCCUUUUAUAGUCAAAUAUUUCUUUCUCUAAAAACCCUAAUUUUGGGGGAUUCGUUUUCUAUGAACUUGCUUGAUUCUCUCCUUGUCUGAUUUAGACCUAUAUUCUGACUUAAUGUAUUGCUGAGUUCGAAUCCCUGAGUCUUGAUUACUUGAUUUUACCUUUACCUUAUUUAUCUAACCGUGUAUUUUUUAAAGCGUCUCCUAUGUAUUUACUCCUUAUUUAACCAUGUGUUAUUGAUUUUAUUUCCUUAAAUAUCACUCUGCCCUCUCUUAUUCAAAUUUGAAUUCCUUAAUUGAAGGAACUCCCCUCUCCUAAUUGAUUCUGAUUAGUAUUGAAUUAUAUUAUUCCUUACUUACCACUUGUCUUCAAACUAUAAAGACCCUACUCCUUAUCUUCAAACGACAUAGACACGAAUAAUUUUCAUAAGUUCAUAGUAAAAACUCCCUCUUCUCUUCUCUAUUUUGCUCUGUUAGUUGUUCUACUGCUUGUGUUAGCCAGCUGAAAGCCAAGGCUAACUAUAAGAUCCUACUUUUUCUGUUUGCAUUGCUGUUUGAGACUUGCAACUGGUAGGUUCCAUGAUUUAAAUACCACCUCCAAACUAUGUGUAUACUAAUGCUUUUCAUAUAUUUGCUUGUGCUCUAUUUCCCUACAUCAUGCAAUUGAACUUUAGCGUGUUUACUUACCCCUAUCACCAUGUCUGUUUAUGUUUAGAAUGUAGUAAAAUUUUAGCAUGCACAUCCCUACCCCUUAUCCCCCAUGUUUUUGAUGUUAUAUGUGUGUGUGCUAUUAUCUGCCUGCACAUCCCUUUCCCUAAAACCCCUAUAGUUUAACUAUGUUAUGUUUGUUUGUGCAAGUGCUUUCAUAUUUGAUCCCUUUCCCUGACCCCUUUUGUAUGUGAGUAUUGUUUUGGACUAGAGUGGUACCCUAUUGCCACCUCUAGUUCAGAACAAGGUUGUUCUCAACCUAUACUCAAAGUAAUCCCACUCCAUUAACCCAAAAUGGAUUGAAGCAGCAUCAUACCUCUAGUUCAGAACCAGGUUGUUCUCAACCUAUACUCAAAGUAAUCCCACUCCCUUAACCCCCCACCCCCAUUAUGUGUUGAGCUUUGACUCAGGUCUGUUAGUGUCCUAAUCACCAUACAGGCCUAAGUCUGACUUAUUUCAAGUCUGGUCAUACUUGCUAAACCAUGUAAAGGGACAGGGGUUUACCAGUCCCAAUCAUGGCUAGGCAUGACCACCUUGCAUUAUGUUGCUUCAAGACUCCCCGGGCCUGUUGUAGUUCUGAUGUUUUUAUUUAUUUUCUUUAAGUCCUUUCUUUCAAGUUUUGUAAUAAUUGUGUAAAAGACUUGGAAGGGUGUGGGAAGGGCUUUACUAUUUCUGCACAUGGCAAAGGUUAGAAACCAUGUCUAUUGCAUACUAUUCUUAAUCAUUUAGAAAGCAUGCCUAUAGGACUUGCAUAUUUUGGUAAUCUAAUGCAAAUAGAAAUCUUGCCUAUAUGAGUCGCUUAUUUUGUAAUCAAAUGCAUAUAGAAAUCCUACCAAUAGGCUUGCGUAUUUUUGUAAUCAAAUCCAUAAAGAAAUCCUGCUUAUAGGACUUGCAUACGCGAUAGGCAAGUUAUAGGGUAAAACGCUCAGUUAUUUAUUAACUUCUUUUAAAAUCAGAAGUAAUAGACAUCGUGCCUAUAGGGGUUAACUGCCAACACGCCUUAUUCGCUUAAUUAAUACCAGUCAGUCAUAUGAGCUCUAUUGUCUUUCUCAAAAUAACGUUUUUGCAAACUGUUAGCUAUGCAUGCCUGUUAACGUCCUUCAAAACAAAUUUCGCCCAAAUGAUUUUCAUUCUUUGAAACAGUCUUUAAUGUAAAGUUCUGCCCAAAGUGUUUUCUCUGAAUUAAUCUGCCUGUUCAAAUGCUUUGCUUUACCUCUGCAUAAAAAUCAUUCUGCCUCAACGUUUAUUCAGUUUUCGAAAUAAUUGUGCAACUCGCCUUUUUUUUAAUUGUGCUUUUCUUUUUGAUUUACCUCUGCAUAAAAAUCAUUCUGCCUCAACGUUUAUUCAGUUUUCGAAACAAUUGUGCAACUCGCUUUUUUUCAAAUCUGCUUAUCUUUCUGAAAAUUUCCUGCACAUUUUACUUAAAUUGUCUAUAAUUUUCGAACCUCUUAUUUCCUCUACUAUUUAUUUUUUUAAAGACUCCUCGCCUCUUUAAAAAUACGACUCUUCCUGAUAACAUGCCUAGGGAACUUGAAGGAGAUUUUCUCUCCAGUUUUAUGUGUUUAGCUAAUACAUCCGCGAUCAACUUUAGUACUAAGACCAAAUCGGUAUCUAUAAGUCAUGUUAGACUAAUUGCUGUUAUGAUUUAGGGGAUUUAUAUGAGCCUUUGAAUUUCAAAUUUGCAUACCUUUAUAUGUUAUUUGUUUUGAUUGACGCUUAGUAUUUUCACCUUUGAAAACUCCAUAUAUGUCCUAUCUUUCUCUCCCCCUAUUAAGUUUAGAAGUACUAAUACCCCGGGACUAGUAGUUUGGGGAGGGUAUUAGCAUGCAAUAAGUAAACGAUACCAAACAUGCUUAAUACCUUAAUGGGGUGGGAAUGUUAGAAUAUGGAGAUGAUGACGACGCGAUAAUAUCAUAAAGUGACACCUAUUUUGGAAUAUGUAUGGGAUAUUGUAUCGAAUGAUUCAUAUUAGAGUCAAACUUAGGACCUCUUUCUCUUUUCCUUGCUUUAUUUAAACAUUUUUCCUAAAUUAAUGCUUUUUCAAGUUAAUCAUCCCUUCUGCUUUAUUAAAAUUAUACCAUUUACCUUUUUACGAUACUCAAGUUAUUUGAAUGUUUAUAUGCAAACCUCUACUUGUUUAUUUGCUUCGUCUCAUUGAAGUCACAAUUAGCACGGCCGGGAACAACAUUAGUGGAUGUUGAGGGGUGCCUAACACCUUCCCCUCGAGAUAAUUUCAAGCCCUUACCCGAACUCUUGUUUUCUUUCAAAUACUCUCUUCUUCUCAAAAGUGUCCUAAUGCACUAUAAUCAUUAGGUGGCGACUCUUCAACUUACAAUACCCAAUGAUCAAAUGGGAAUAAGAGUUGUUUUGUCCAUAAUGUCGUAAACCCGAUUUUCCUUCUUUUUUAGUAGUCGGAAAAGGGGGCGUCGACAGCAUGGCUACUCUGCCGGCGAAUUCUUUAAGGCUUUCACCAUUACGUGUUUUGUGACUUUAUUGCUUUCUUUACUGAAUUUAAUUACUGCUUUAAUUAUUUCCUCAUAAUUACUAACUUGAUUCUUCAUGUUUUAUUUUUCUUUAAUUGUUUUAAUGCUUUAACUUUAUUUCGAUUCCGUCUUAAAUUUUGAGCAUUUACUGUAAUCAUUAUCUUAUGAACACGAAAAUACAUGUAUUUAUUUCAUUGUAUUAAUUGCAUCCUUCAACAUCAUUUUCCAUUCGUGUUAAACAAAUCAUAUAGGAACUCUUAUAAUGAUUGGUUGUGCUCUUCCAAUAUUAUGAACCCCCCUAAAUGUGGCAAAGGCAUAUUUGCGAUAAACCCAGUCGAUCAACGGUGUAGUGGACGGUUCGGUGCCUUUCCCUUUUGAGUUGUCCGCUCAAGGGUACCUUGUCCAGCACUUUAAAAGUAAAAACCUUAUUCUAUUAUAUUAUUCAUGCAUCAUGGUCAAAUUUAGUCGAGUCAGUUAUGUCGUCCGCGUGACUCAUUAAGAUAGCCUAAACCAAAGUCAAUCAGGUUUCCUGAAAUCCAAACGGACAUUCACGUUAUGUGCAUUGAUUUGGAGAAAUAAAAGCCUUUUGCUAAUUAUUGAUUUAAAUAGUCGAGUCCAGUGUUGUUGGGACCUAACACUCUUUUUUGAAGGAAAUGAGGCACGAGGUCCCCUGAUUCAGUAUGGUAUCAAACAUUCACCCAAAGUUACUAAGCUGGUUGGAAGAUCUGCAUGGUAGUGAUCGGGUUCUUGUCCGCAAGCACUUAGGGAAUCUUCCUUCUUUCUUGGAAGUUAGGCCAGAUAACAAGAUUGUGGAGGCUGUUACUCUAUUUUGGGAUAGUGAACGGUCUGUCUUCCACGUUGGGGGUAUUGAAAUGUUGCGGCUAUUAGAAGAAAUUAGGGGUCUAGAUGGAAUUCCUUGGGAAAGCCCGGCUCUGCUUAUGCCAGAAAACAACAAAGGUGGAGGUUUCCUGAAAAUGAUGGGGCUCAAGAAGAAUCCUACGCUGACCCGUCUUAAGGACUCCUACAUAUCCUUCGACUUCAUGUUUGAAAGGUUCGUACAUAGCAAAUACUAUCGCACUCACAUGGAUGAGUUCGCCCUCACCUUUUCUGGGGACAAACAUAGGAGUGCCUUUGUAUUGAUGUUCUGUUUCCUGGGCAUGAUAUUCUUUCCAAUGAAGAAGGCUAGAAUCCAUACAAGACUAGCUAUGGUAACCAAAGCCAUAAUGGAGGGUAUUGACGGGCAGGAAUUCAGCAUAGCACCCAUGAUCCUCAUCGAACUGUAACGAGCCUUAGAGAAAUGUCAACAAGAGGCACCAUACAUUAAAGGGUGCAAUUUGCUACUACAACUCUGGCUCAUUGAACAUCUUCAGAAGGAUGAUUAUAGACAGGGAGAUCAAACGCCGAGACUGGGAUGGCCAUAUCUCUUUCCAUCAUCCAAAGCAAAUGCACUUCAUGCCUGAUAUGUUCGCUUGCCCAGAAGACACCAGUGGAUGGGUAGAUAUAUUAGAGAAUAUGAGAUAUGAGCAGGUACAAUGGAUGUACGAGUGGUUACAAACUAAGUAAUUUAUCAUGCGAUCUAGGGAUGCGCCAUUCCUUGUAAUCAUCGGCUUAUGAGGAACUUACCCUAUAUGUCCUUCUCCGAGUCAUGAGGCAAGCAGGAAGAAAGCAGAUUAUACCAAUGGUGGAAAAGAAGAGUUACUACACGGCUGACUUACAAGAUGACGAUAGACCACAGAGGUGUCGGGUUCAAGAUAUGUGGCAUUCCAAACUCAUCUUGGAAAAGGAAUCUAUAGAAUCUGACAGGUAUCAAGCAGGGCAUACGCCGCUUUAUCUAGGAUGGUUAGAAGAUGACCACAUCGUCUUGAGAAAAAUAGGUUUCGUCCAUGGUCGGAGGGUUAUUGUCGAGGAGACUGUUGCAAAGGUCAAGUACAAUCAACUAAACAGAUGCGAGAGUGUGUAAGUGAGCCAUCGGGAAAUACUCGAGGCAUAGAAAAAGCUAAACAAUGAGCGGAAGGACAUGGUUGUCCGCGCAAACAACUGUUUAGGGUACUUAGAGUAGUGUUUAGUAGAAUUGGAAGGAAAAUUUAUGAAAAAGGAUCAACGAUCUCUAGGAAGCUGAAGGUAACGAAGGUGGGCACUUGGCUUGAGCUUACUUGUUACUGGGACUGCGCGAGUUGAUGCAACUGUACGAGGGAGGCAAAGAUACCGAAUCUGGGGAAGGUCCUUCUGGGACCAAGUAGUUAGGAUUUUUACUGCUUUCCUGAUGUAAUAACAACACUAGCCAUUAGUGACAAUUUCUCUUUAUUUCAGUUUGUUUUGACUCGUUCAAUUUUCUAUCGAUAAAAUGAGGCACUUGGUGUUACAAGUUCUCAAAAUUCUAUUUGUUGCUAGGCCUACCUCAGGCACAACGAGGCACCCAAAUAGGGAACGACUUAUAUUCUUGCAACAAUGUGUUUAAAUACUGCAAUAUUUUCUUUCUUAGAAUCCGCGCUAACUUUUUACCUUUUUUGUUAUUCUUUUUAUUCUCCUCCCCAAAGGUUAGUUUGUGCAUUAUGGCACCAUCCGCAUACUCCACAAGAUCAA